AUCUCAGUGAUUUACAUCAUGUGUACGUAUACACAAGCAAAAGACUUUUAACUACUAAUGGAGUGACUUUGGGUGAAGGUAUAGCUACUGAAUGCCAUGAUACCUACCAAAAGGCGAAUAGGAAAGGACACCUCAAUCUAGUCCCAACUACCUCCGAAUCUAAAAACAUGACGUUAACAAGAAUGAGUAUAAACCCAGUGAGCGAACAUAAGAAAGGAAUAAGCAAACAAUAAGGAAAGUUUUAGAAAAAAUGAUGCACUCAAUUUAAAACAAUAUAGUUUAGCUUAAUUUCUUGUUAAAACCCCUCAAUUCAACCCUUGAUUACUUAAUCCCUUAGUGUUGAAGGGUCCAUAAUCAACAAUGAAGUUAAAGAGUGAAAACUACAGCAAAUAUCCAAGCAAGGCAGAGAGUUUCUCGCUGCAACGAGAAUUCAAUUUCACUGUAGUGAAAUUCUGGGUAGGAACCACCCGAGAGUUUCUCACUACAGCGAGAAUGCAUUCUCGCUGUAGCAAAAACCAAGGUUGGGUCAAGCCCCCAAGCACCCAAGAGUUUCUCGCUGCAGCGAGAAUGAAAUUUCGCUGUAGCAAGAAACAGGUCCAUUAAGUUAGAAGAAUUCUUGUUACAAAGAAAAUCCAUUCUUGCUGCAAUGAAAAUCAAUUUGGAAGCAUUUACAAUGUCAACAUUCAACAUUCAAUGCAAUCAUAUAAUAUUUUCCUUAACCUCUCUAUGGUAUGUGUAAACAUAUACAACUACCGGCUCACCAACUCGUGCACUCCCACACUGCACAUAGCUAAAAUCAUCAUUUGCACUCCCACACUACACAUAGCUAAUACUAUCAUGUGCACUCCCACACCGCAUGUCACGACCCGGUACUCCCCUCGAGCCCGUGACAACAACCGCGGUGUCCGCAUCGACACUCAUUACCCGAAAUGUCAACCAAAACCCCGUAAGGCUUUAAUAUCAGUUUAUCAUUUCCCCUGUUAGUAACCGUAGCCAAAUAUCAUGUUCUAAAAGAUUUUAAGCUAUUUCCAACUUAAAUCAAUAAAAAAAAUGAUUUCUGUCUCACAGGGGCAUUUUGGUCAUUUUUCCUCAAAAAUCUCGAAACCAACUAAAAAUGUAGUAUGCGAGUAUAAAACACAUAAUUAAUAAUAAAAAAUAAGCUUAGAUAUCUAAAACAUUCAUUUAAAGUGAAAUUAUAACUAUUUGAAUAUAAUAAAAAUAUUCAAUAAAAUAUUUUAUUUUCUUAUAAAAUAAUAUUUAUGCAGUUACCAGUAAAUAAUUUUUGUAGCGUAAAAGCUAAAUAAAUUCAUACAUACUGUAAUACAGAUAACCAAAGUAUAAAAUUUAAUUUACAGUAACACGUGGGCCCACGAACGACCAAAAGUAUCAAAAGCGGUAAACCUACAGUUUUUGAGGAUGCAAGUCCAACUGUAGCCCUUAACGAAAUGAGUUAUUUACCAACUAUCCUGAGCCUAAAAUGGGUGGAAAGAAGGGUGGUGAGAUUAUACAAUCCCAAUGAGUAAACAAAUACCAUAGAAAAUAUCUAAAGUUGAGUAAAUGGAGACAGAAAAAAUAGUUUAUCAUAUUGUAAUUCAUCACCUUUCAACUCAUUUCAACCAAAUAAACUUAAUUCAUAUAAAUCGAGUAUUCAACAUGGCUUAUGAAUUUCUCAAAAGCUUUUGCUCGUGCCAAAAUCAUUCUUAUACUUAGUUAUCAAGGAUACCUUGGCCGAGGGCUAUCACAACUGAGUCCGCAAAGGCUGAUAAAAAGUUAUGUACGCAUAAAUUAUGUUUUUAUUUUAAAAACAUAGUCAUUCCUUAGCGUUGGCUGAGUUCACCCUCACGUGGUGGUUUGGCGUGAAGUGAACUUUAAAGUGUUAACCUCAGGAGUUAUCCGUCCGCGCCUCUCAUACUGAGGUAUGACUAUAACGGGGUUACCGUACGUCCUCUAAUAGGAUGGUCCACGGAACCCGUACACUGCAGCGACUAAUCAAUAACCCACUAAUUCAAUAAAAUUUAACAGCAUGACAUGGCAAUUUUAUCAUUAUCCAGCCUAUCAAGGCAAACAACAGUUUAUACAUUUUCAACAUAAAUACCAAUUCAGCUAUUCAUGCCAAUAUUGCCAUAAGCCAAUCAAUUAGAACCAUAAAUUCACAAUACAUCAAAUGGUCUCCAAUUACUUUAUUUUCAAAGCCAUCAUUCAAUUUCAAGACAAUUUUUAAAAUAAUUUCAUUUAAACACAUUUUGUUUAUAAAACAUAAAGAUUUACCAUUUAAACUCAUUUUUCAUAAAAUCACAAAAUCGGAGAAAAACCAUUAUAGAUAAUUAAGAUGAUAGUAAGGUUACUCACUAUUUCGGGAGUCGAAUUCCGAGUACUCCGAUUCUUGAUCCUCGGGUACUAUCUCUUUACUUUUGCCAAAAUGCUCACCACCUAGACAUAAUGCACAAUAAGCCAUUUACUAUAUUUGUGCUAAAUUGUUAUAAAACCAAUUCAGGCUCUAUAUUAAUGCAUGAAAUGGGAUGCAAAUUGUUCGGAUUAUUGUCUAAACACGGUGUUCUACACAAAUUCAAUUGUGUACCUAAAUAAAACGGUAUUGGCCUAAUUCGAUCUAUCACUCGAUUAAUUGGCCAAUAUGUCCAAUUUAACUCCAAAUAAUUCAAUUUUUCUUCUAAUUCUCCAAAUCAUCAAACACAAAUUAAAUAACUUGAAAUAUGGCGAAAUCAUCCUCACAUUUUUUCUUGGAAAAUUCGGCCAUCGUGGGUGCAUAACACUAUAAUUUUUCCUACAUGAUUCUCACACCAUAAAUCACUAAUUCCUAACCAAAUCACUUGAAAUAAAAUUAAAAUCAUCAUCAAUAUUCUACAUGGAGAAUUCGGCCAAUGAUGGGUGAUGGAAGAACAUGAUUUUUUCUUGCUUGAUUUUCAUGCUACACAUCACCAAUCAACUAAAAACACUAAAAUACAUUGAAAUCUAACCAAAUCAAGCAUCAAAACCUCUCUCUAAGUGUUCAGCCAGCAAGAUACCCAUCAUGAAAUCAUGUGAUUCAACCAUGAAAAAUGCAAAAGAAUGCAUGGGAAAGGUAGAUCACAAGUGAAAAUCAAAAAAUUUUACCUUUAAUUGCUUGAUUACUUGGAAUCCACCAAUUUUCUCUUGAAUUUUCACCCUAGGGUUCUUGUUCUUUCUUUUCUUCCUUUGUUCUUGCUUUGGCCGGCCAUAUGAAGAGAAAUGGGCUGAUUUUGUGCUAAUUUAUAAGGAAAAUAAUAAAUGGAUGAAACUUUGACACAUGUCACCAUUCCAUUAGUCCAUGUGUCAUACUUACCUAUUAAGCAAUCUCUCUCCACCACUUAAAUUUCCUCAAUUAUCCAUGAUAAUAUUGGGUAAAAUUCAUGUGCUGGACAAGUGUUGGGUGGUGUAAAAUUACAAUUUUGCCCUUGGGGUGGUAAAAUGACUAUUUUGCCCUUAUGCUCAAAAAAAUGCCGGAAUUAAAAUUUUUCACUUUUCAAACUCAAAUUAUGUUCUAUAUAAUCAAUCUUGACCAAAAGCUUCUUCCAACAUUUCAAUUUUAACCUCGGGUGGCAAAAUGACCAUUUUGCCCCUAGGUCAUGAAAAUUCUAAUUUGACUACAAAUUGGUCCUCGAACUCCGAAUCACCAUUUUAAGUCAUUCUGGGGUUUUAAAAUUCUCAAUUUCAUCUUAAAAUCUCUAUUUGGACUAGUUCGAGGCUUAAUUCAACUUAAUGGUACCAUUUGGUACAUUACCGUCCUUUAACGAUUUUCGAGGUACCCAAGUAAGCAAACAUGCAUUCUUAUGUAAGAAUGACAUAAUAAACAUAUUGUAGAGCCGGGCUUGACACCGCACAUGGCAAAUAUCAUCAUGUACACUCUUGCACCACAUCAUCACCGACAUGUGCACUCCCACACCGCACACACUCUAUUGUAAUUAACACACAAUAUUAUCGUUCAAGGCAUAACAUGCAUAGCAUCAUAAUAUAGGAACACAUGAAUUCAUCACAUUUCACAUUUCACAACAUAAAAACCUUUCAUCAAGGGCUUGUUCCCAUGCAUAUUUUAAAGAAAAGACCAAUAAAUAUUUUAAGUGAUUCAAUCAAACACUUAUGCAUUUAUCCCAAAACAUUUUAAUGCAAGUUCAUUCACCUGUCUUUGUUGACUCUUUAAGACUCCAACAUCCACUAACGCUCCAAAAGGAGAUGUGGGGUCUCGUUGGAACCUAUCACACAAAAUAGCAUCACAACCAACUCAUUUGACAUGAAUAUUAUUCCAAAAGCUAUUUUCUAAAUCAAACUUUACUAGUUAUUACUCACUAGUUUCCAAUUACCAUUUGACUAGUCAUUAGUUUGCACUACUCUAGUCACACUAGGAAUAAAUAAAUAACCUUAAACAAUAAAAUAGCCCACAAUUCUAAUUAUUGGCCAUUUAUCAACAACUUAAAAAUCAACCCUAACUCAUUACUCACCUUGAUGGAUUUGUAGUUGAAUUCCUUUUCAAAAGCUUUUCAAGCUAUUAUGCAAAGUCUCCCUCUCUCUCUAAAAUAUCAACUAGUGAGAGAAAGUGCUGAGGAAAGACUUUUGAGAGUUUUUAAAGUGAAAGAGUGAAGGAGCAAGAAAAAUCCUAUUGAAAGGUGUAUAGAAACAUGAAAAUUUGAGUUACUUUGAGAAAGUUAUGGAGGUUUUAAGGGUGGCCUCCAUGAAAGAUGGAGAGUUUGAAAUGGAGAGAAAGGAUGGGAGGAAGAAGAAAAAGCUGUUUGAAGUAAGAAAAAAGCUGCUGAAAAAUUAGAUAUUUAUUCUUAUGGUUGACAAAACUCCACUUAUUUACAAAAAUACCAUUGCAUAGUUGACAAAAGGUCCACAAUAGAUUAGAGGUACUCGAGUUCAUGAAAACUUACAAAUUUAGACUCGAGACCUAAAAUGACCAUUUUACCCUUAUUGUGGAAAUUAUCAUUAUUUCUAUUUUCUUCGUUUAUUUCAUUAUUAUAUACCUUAUUCAUUUAUUCCUUAAGCCUACUUAGACCUUAAUUAUAUUAGAAAAACCCACUUCUAGGAGCUUACCAAAAAAACGACAGAACUACCCCUAAUCCACGUCAUCGUGUCUACCUCUGCUACUGUCAAUUAAAUUCCUACUACGCAAGUAUACGUAUCGAAUACAUAGUAUAUUAACAAGUAGGGUAUCGAUCCCAUAAGGAAUUAAUCUAAAAUUUUACUAAGUACUAAAAUUAGAACAAUUUAAUCUUAUCCAAAUAAUCAAAAUUAAUUAAUUAACUAAAACUAAUUAACUAAAAUUAAAACCAACAAGAAAAAUCAAAAUAUUAACUUGAGAAAAUAUCAAAUCAACAAACCUAGGAUUACAAUAUCCCUCACACUUCAUCUAAAUCCUAUCUCUUUUCCUUAACUUAUUUCAAUGGGUUGAAUUGCUAACCUAGAGUCCUAAAUUAUUUAUAAGGGUCUCCCGACUCAUUUUAUAAAAAUAUCUAUUUUAAUAAAAACACUAUAUCCUUAUGUGAAUUGAAAUUAAAACAAACUCAUUAAGUUCAGGUUCUAAUCUUGCUACAUAUGGCCUAUAGGUAUAUCCCUAUCCUACACGCAAAUCAAUUAAUAUAAUCAUAUGCUAUCCCAAUUUUAGUCUACACUAAACUCCCUUUCCCAAGUUUGCUUAGGUUCCUAAAUCAAUUAAUUGGUGGCUAGACAAUUAAAAGCAUUAAGAACAAAUUGAAAUAAAUAAUUAAAAUCCCAUUAAAAAUAAGCAAGAAAGAGAUUAAAAAUUUAGACUACAUGUGAGUUCAAUUGCAUUCCUAGAAAAAGAAAUUUAGCUACUCAUAAUUGCAAAAUAAAAUAACAUUAUAAUAAAUUUAACCAUUAAAAGUAACAAGAGAAUUAAAAGCUAAGGAAAACACAAAACAAUUAUUGCCGACUUGAUCUCCAAGUUUCAGCCUCAACUUCUAGUUUUUUGAAUCUCUCAAAAGUUCCUCCUCCUAAUGUUGCUAAACAUAUCCUAUUUAUAUUAAUAAACUUAACCUAAAAUUCCUUAAGCUAAGGUUUAAUUUGGGCAUAAAAGUGUAAUGAGAGGCCCAAAAAUCAAUUGUCCAUCUUUACAAAUUUCCAUUCCCGAUACAAUAUGUUCAACCAUUUUUCGACGUGAUUUUCUCUAUCUUCGAAGCAGAACUGGGCAAAGUGAUCUUCAUGAAAGUUUUAGCUCUGUCUCUUAGCUAUUGGUCUAAGAAUUAUAUCAUUUGGAGUUCUAUAACUUGAGAUAUGGCCAAAAUAUCGAAGUAUAUGCAAGCAGAUUCUGGGUCUUUCAACACUUUACUUUCCAAAAUUAAGCCCAAUCACUUUUAAUCCUAUAAAAGAAAUAUAAAAACUAACAAAUGAUAACCAAAUUAAAAAGAAUAAUAUAAAAUUAAAAUAACUAGCUUAAAAGUAGCCUAAUUAUAAAACAAACUAAAAAUAAGUAAAUUAUAAUUGAAAAUUGAAGACUUAGCUAAUAUUUAAUAACAAAAUUGGAAUAAAAUAAUUCUAUAAAAUAGAAUUAUCACACCCUCAAACUUAAGAUUUUGCUAGUCCUUGAGCAAAAGAAAAUUUUAAAAAGAAAACUGAAUCAUAAAAAAUCUUUAAACAAGAGAUAGAAAUACCAAAUCAUGAUUUCUCAAUUUUUCCUCAGAAAUUAACUCUAAUUCCAACUUAAGGUAACAUACAACUAAUCUUUAAAUUCAUGCAUCAAUUCAAGUGAAACUUAUUUUUUCAAAUGGACUUCCUGUGUGUGUCUGAAUGCUCUCUUACAAAGAAUCAUGCAAUUUAGAUUAGUUUUAUGUCAACUCUAAGCAUAGAUUAGUACUAGGAUCCCAUAGGUUUACUUUUCAUUUCUCUCUCCACUAAUGUAGAUUAACACUUAUUCAAGGAUCAAUAGGUCUUUAUCAAGCUUGUAAUGUAAAGCUAGGGUCAAGGUAUGAUAAAGGAUAUAUUUAGGCUCAAAUUCACCCUAAGCACUUAAUCAAUCUAGAUCAUAUAAAGAGCUCAAAAAUUAUUUUUUUCUGUAUAGCACCCCCAAACUUGAAGUAAACUUUCCUUUGUACAACACACUUUAUUUCUUUUCUUUUCUCUUUUUUUCAACCCCCAAACUUAUUUUUGACAAUUAUAGACUAGGGGUAAUUUUACUAACAACCUUCACUUUUUGUGUUUUGUUUUUUUUUCAGACCUUUCUCUAUCAAUUUAUCUUUAAGCUCAAAUUUUUUUUCACACCUUUCUCCCUCAAUUUAUCUUUAAGCUCAAAUCAUUCUUUAGAACGAUUAACAUACUUAGAGGGUGAAAGGUUCAAAUUGCUGGAAUUAAAUAAACAGGCCAAGGCUAAUAUAACUGUGUAAUUACAAAGAAAAGGUAAAUUAGGCUUAAAAAGGGUGACUAAGGAUAAAUAUAACAAGGUAGGCUCAAACGAUCCAAAGAUGGCCUAAAUCACUUCCUAUCCUAAGUGUUAUCUAAGAUUUCGCCUCGAGAGAGAAUCAAACAAAUUUUAGAAUUCUUGACUCCACUAGACUUUUUCAUCAAUAUAAAAUUUCUCUAAAUCACACAUAAAUUCUAAGUAGAAGAGUAUAGUGCUUCAAAUUAUUGAAAGUCACAUUCUAAAAUAAAGCUAACACAAGAAUAUCACAUAAAAUUAAAUCCUAACUAUAUGCUUCCCAAAAGCAAAGAAUCAAAAGAUAAUUAAAAUAUCAUCCUAGGAUUGGGACAAUCAAGAAUAAGAUAUACCUAUCUCAAUUUUUUUUCAACACAACAAAACAUGCAAAACACAAAUAAAACAUGUAAAUAAACUAACAAAAUUCUAAACUAUUCCCCCAAACUUAGAAUGAACAUUGUCCUCAAUGUGAUAAAAGAAAAUAAAAGAAAAAGGACAAGAAUACUCCACUACUCGAAACUGCAGUCUGCAUGUCCUCCACAUGGCCACCACCCAUCAUCAACUCUCAGCAACAAAGCAUUCAUCAAUUAGAUAUGCAGCAAAUGAAAAGUUCAUGAAUCCAUUAUAUGGGUAACAAGAAAUUGGCACUAAUCUUCAAAAUUUUCAGCACUCUAAGCAUUAAUCAUGAGGAAGUCUGAAAAACUUAGGAGUGCAGGAUUUCAAAAAAAAUUAAAAAAAUCCAAGUAGAAAGAAAAUGCAAAAAUUUGGAGUGAAAAAAGGAAGAUAGAGGAACGCAAGAGAUUGGCAAGAUGAGGAAUAAUGGGAGUAGGGAUGGUAGUCAAAGAAGAAGAAGAGUGACAAAAGAAGAAAAGAAAAAGAAAAAAAUAUAUAAAUAAAAAAAUAAAAAAGAUUUUCAAAGCAAAAUUUUUUUUUUCACCCGAAGCUUUACACUUCGGGCUUGAGCGCCGCGGCUCUCAGGGUUGAGCGGGGCUACGCUUAACUUUUCUGCCAAUCGUUGUUUGUUUAGCAUCGCGGCACUCCAAAUGAGGCCAGCGACGUUGAAACAUUCUGUUUCAGUGACUAAUUGUUGCUUCAUCCAGCGUCACGGCUCUCCCUUUAAGGGCCGCGAUGCUGAAACAUUUUGUUUCAUGCUGCAGCGCUUAUUUCUUUUUUUUUUUACCAAUUACUUGCAAAAGGAAUCAAAAGACAAAAAAAAUUAAUAAAUCAAAAAAAAUAAAUUCUAACUAAACUAAAAACAAUUUUAAAAAAUAAAAAAUAAGUAAAGUUUAGAAACUUAGGUUACCUCCCAAGAAGCGCUCGUUUGUAGUCACUAGCUUGACUAUAGUGCCCCCUUUUUCAGUUCUUCAUCCUCGAAAUAUCGUCUAAGGCUCAUCCCAUUAACCAUGGUUGUUUCUGUAUCCUCACUAUAAAUCUCAAUUAUUCCACAAGGAUAAGCCUUUACUACUUUGAAAGGACCCCACCAUCUUUCUUUGCGUUUCCAUGGAAAAAGCUUGAAGUAUGAUCUAGAAAGCAGCAUUACUUGUUGUCCAAUCUCGAAAGGACGAUUAGAUGGUGGUGAAAGAUGCUCCGUUGGUGAUUGCUCAGCUCUCACAGGCCGAGGUGGUGGCUUAAACUCAAAGAUUGGUGCUUGCUCACUUAUAGGUGGAGAAUUAGGUUCACCUUUUCCUUUAUCAAUUAGCUCCACUCUAUAGCAACAAUUUGUAGAGCUAGGAUGUUUAUUUGCAUUGAAAAUAUUAAACUCAACUACCUCUUCUCCAAUUUUAAAAGUUAUCUUGCCUUCCCUCACAUCAAUGAUUGCGCCUGCGGUAGCCAAGAAUGGUCGUCCCAAGAUUAAAGGAAUUUCUUGAUCUUCUUCCAUCUCAAGCACAAUGAAGUCCACCAGAAUGUAAAGAUGCCCAACUUUAACCAAUAUAUCCUCAAUAAUCCCAACAGGAUACCUGAUUGUUCAUCUACUAAUUGCAAAGAAACUGUGGCAGGUUGUAUCUCUUUAAGUCCAAUUUUCUCGGCAGUUGACAAUGGUAUGAUUGAAACGCUUGUACCCAAAUCACAUAAAGCUUUAGUAAAUUUAAAUCUACCAAUAGUACAAGGUAUAGAAAAACUCCUUGGAUUUUUAAGUUUUGGUGGAAGCUUGUUCUGAAUUAUUGCGCUACACUCCUCAGUAAGUGCCACUGUUUCAAAAUCUUCAAGUUUCCUCUUCUUAGUUAAGAUAUCUUUCAGGAAUUUGACAUAACUUGGCAUGUUUUCCAAAGCUUAAGCAAAAGGGAUGUUUAUGUGGAGUUUCUUGAAAACAUUAAGGAAUUUCUCAAACUGUUUAUCAAGCCUUUGCUUUUUCAACCUUUGUGGGAAUGGUGGUGGAGGGUAAUUUGCUUCAAAAUUCCCUUGAUUUUUAGCUUGCCCAUUAUCUGCCUUUCCCACUGCAACUUAUUUCUCAACAAUCGCCUUGUCAUCAUCUAGAUACUCCUUUGAAGAUUCAAUUGAUUUUUCAUUCACCCCUUCAACUUCUUUUCCACUCCGAAGUGUAACUGCAUUAUAAUGUUCCUUACCUUUGGGAUUGACUUGUGUAUCACUUGGUAAGGCACCUUGGGGUCUAAUGUUUAUGGAGUUUGCAAGCUGUCCCAUUUGGGUCUCUAGAUUUCUCAAGGAGGCUCCAUAGCUCUAAAUUAUGGCAUCAGUCUUGGACAUAUAUUGCAAGAUAAGUUCUUCCACUUGGGACUUCUUUUCAAGAAUUGGUGGUCUAGAUUAUUGUUGAAAACUAGGAGGCAUGUUGGGGUUUGAAUUGGAAGGCCCUGCAUUGUUGUUCCAUGAAAAGUUGGGGUGGUUUCUCCAACUAGGAUUGUAUGUAUUAGAGUAUGGGUUAUUCUGUUGCUUGUUGAAGUUCCCCACAAAUUGGACUGAUGUAGAAUUGUAUGAACAUUGAUCACUGGAAUGGCCAUCUCCACACAUCUCACCAACUACACAUGAAUUUUGAAUUGCAUGGACUCCUAGUGUGUCAAUUUUCUUGAACAAUGCAGUCACUUGUGCAGCUAAGUUGCCAAUUGCAUCAAUUUCAUAUGCUCCAACAGCUUUUCUCGAACCCGACCUUUCUGAAGGCCAUUGAUAAUUAUUUGAAGCCAUCUCUUCCAACAAAUUAUAAGCGUCUACAGCAUUCUUACUCAUCGAUGCCCCACCAACAGCAGCAUCAAUUGUGGUUUUAAUUGACCCAACCAGCCCAUUGUAGAAUGUCUGAACUUGCAACCAAUCAGGAAUCCCAUGAUGUGGACAUAUUCGCAGUAGUUCUUUAAACCUUUCCCAAGCUUCAUACAAGGACUCAAAAUUGUGUGAAUGAGGUGAUGUCGUUCCUCAACUUUGCAGUCUUUGUAGGCGGAAAUAACUUUGUGAGAAACUUUUGAGCCAAGUCCUCCCAUGUAGUGAUAGACCCAUUGGGCAGUGAAUUAAGCCAGCUUUUUGCUUUAUCUCUCAAAGAGAAUGGAAACAGUCUCAACCUAAUAGCAUCAUCAGUUACUCUAUUGUAUUUAAAGGUAUCACAAAUCUCCAAAAAAUUAACUAAAUGAGCAUUAGGAUCAUCAUUGGGUAAUCCACCAAACUGGACCGAAGACUGGAUCAUCUUAAUGUAAGCUGGUUUAAUUUCGAAAUUAUUUGCAUUGAUAGAAGGUCUCCUAAUACUUUGGUGCAAACCUUGCAACAAAGGAACUGCAUAAUCUCGCAAUGCUCUAGUUGCUUCGGGAUCUAGAUUAAUGGCAUUAUUUCCAUUAUUAUUGUUAUCCUCAGCCAUUGUCUAAUUUAAAGUUGCAACUUGCAAAUUCUCCCUUCGAUGUCUUUUAAAAGUUCUUUCUAUCUCAAGAUCAAAAGGAACAAGAUUCAAGUUCUCUCUUCUUUGCAUACAAUGACCAAAGAUAUCUGCAAGCAAACAAAAUCUAAAAUUAAAACAAGAAAAAUAAAAUUUGAAGUAAAACCAAAUUGCUUGGUAUUAGUAUUAGUAAAAAGUCUAGAAACAAUUCCCCGACAACGACACCAAAAACUUGUCAAUUAAAAUCCUACACGCAAGUUUACGUAUCGAAUAGAUAGUAUAUUAGUAAGCAAGGUAUCGAUCCCACAGGGAAUUAAUCUAAAAUUUUACUAAAUACUAAAAUUAGAACAAUUUAAUCUUAUCCAAAUAAUCAAAAUUAAUUAAUUAACUAAAACUAAUUAACUAAAAUUAAAACCAACAAGAAAAAUCAAAAUAUUAACUUGAGAAAAUAUCAAAUCAACAAACCUAGGAUUACAAUAUCCCUCACACUUCAUCUAAAUCCUAUCUCUCUUCAUUAACUUAUUUCAAAGGGUUGAAUUGCUAACCUAGAGUCCUAAAUUAUUUAUAAAGGUCUCCCGACUCAUCUUAUAAAAAUAUCUAUUUUAACCAAAACACUAUAUCCCUAUGUGAAUUGAAAUUAAAACAGACUCAUUAAGUUCAAGUUCUAAUCUGGCUACAUAUGGCCUAUAGGUAUAUCCCUAUCCUACAUGCAAAUCAAUUAAUAUGAUCAUAUGCUAUCCCAAUUUUAGUCUGCACUAAACUCCCUUUCCCAAGUUUGCUUAGGUUCCUAUAUCAAUUUAAUUGGUGGCCAGACAAUUAAAAGCAUUAAGAACAAAUUGAAAUAAACAAUUAAAAUCCCAUUAAAAAUAAGCAAGAAAGAGAUUAAAAAUUUAGACUACAUGUGAGUUCAAUUGCAUUCCUAGAAAAAAAAAAUUUAGCUACUCAUAAUUGCAAAAUAAAAUAACAUUAUAAUAAAUUUAACCAUUGAAACGAACAAGAAAAUUAAAAGUUAAGGAAAACACAAAACAAUUAUUGCCGACUUGAUCUCCAAGUUUCAGCUUCAACUUCUAGUUUCUUGAAUCUCUCAAAAGUUCCUUCUCCUAAUGUUGCUAAACAUAUCCUAUUUAUACUAAUAAACUUAACCUAAAGUUCCUUAAGCUAGGUUUUAAUUUGGGCUUAAAAGUGUAAUGAGAGGCCCAAAAAUCAAUUGUCCAUCUUUACAAAUUUCCAUUCCCAAUACAGUACGUUCAGCCAUUUUCCUACGUGAUUUUAUCUAUCUUCAAGGCAAAACUGGGCAAAGUGAUCUUGAUCAAAGUUGUAUCUCUGUCUCUUAGCUUUCAACUGGUUUAAGAAUCACAUCAUUUGAAGUUCUAUAGCUUGAGAUAUGACCAAAAUACCGAAGUAUAUGCAAGCAGAUUCUGGGUCUUUCAACACCUUACUUUCCAAAAUUAAGCCCAAUCACUUUUAAUCCUACAAAAGGAAUAUAAAAACUAAUAAAUGAUAACCAAAUUAAAAAGAAUAAUAUAAAAUUAAAAUAACUAACUUAAAAGUAGCUUAAUUGUAAAAACAACUAAAAAUAAGUAAAUUAUAAUUGAAAAUUGAAGACUUAGCUAAUAUUUAGUAACAAAAUUGGAAUAAAAUAAUUCUUUAAAAUAAAAUUAUCAGCUACACGUCUAUGAAGGUCGAGGCUUCACAGAUGUUGAGGUGGUCUCUAAGGUGGUGGACAGCGUGGAAUCGAAAAAAAACUAUAGCUGGCAGCCGACAACUUGUGGGCAUAAAAUCGAUUCAUAAUUUCAACAUCCAACAAUGCUUUACAUUGCAAGAUUUCUUCAUUUUUAUCCCAACGUACACCCACUUUCUUGCACAAGGUGGUGAUCAAUGAUGGAUACCAAAGUCUAUCACACAGCAAGCGGUUAGCUUGAACAAUACUGUUGAAUAUCAAUUGGCCCACAUUGAUUGACAUUCUAGAAAUAAUGGCAUAUAACAAGAUAGCUCAAUCCCUUGUGAUGUCACUAAUAUGUUUCACAGGAAGUAAUCUAGUAAACAAAAAGUGAUACCAUAGCUUAUGAACUGUCUUCAUGGUACUAGCCUUAAAAGACACAGGUAUGCCUUUUGUCAUUUUCCAUUCCCCCCCUCAUCACAAAGUACACCAAGAACCCCAUCCAAAUCAAUGUUGCCCGUUAAGAACUGGCCAUAGUCAUCAUGUUCAAUAUCAAGUUAUAAAAUUGAUUGAUGGUGGCAUUAUCAAAACGAACUUGAUAGCCUCGUACAAACACUUGGCCAUGAACAUGUUUAGCGGCAUUGGCGUAGAAUAUUAUAAACCCUUGGUAAGACAGCGGCCUUAGGUUGGUCACAAAAUUUCUCCCAUUGCCACCUAGUGAUGACCUUAUGAACAAAACUAUAUAGCUCAAGAUUGAGAUCAAUGCCACUUUCCUGAAUAAGGACUUUAUGCACAAGGAAUUGCAUAUGUCUCUCAAUGGCAUCAGUAGACACAAAUUUACUGUGAUCAAAUCGAGUCUUACUACCACUCUUGUGAGUUCUUUUCUUUGGUGCCAUCCCGCUCACGCAAAUAGAAAAUACUUCCUCCUAAAACAAGCCACCACAAUCCAAGUAAAUUACCCAUUCAAUUAUAUUUUAUUAUUAGGAAACAAAAACAACACCUCCCACAAGUUCUAUGCCCUGUCAAAUAUUGAUAGUCAUCCUUCAUCCUCAACAACAAUGAAAUGCAGCACAAAUUGAUUAGAAAGAAAAAAAAAUCCAACACAUCUAGUUUAAACUAGCAUUACUUCAAGCAACCCAUUCCUAACUAACAAAUUGACAAAAGAAGGGAAAAAUUAACUUACUUGGUUGAAGAAUACAGAAAAUGUGGAGAAUGAAUGGAAGGACAACCUUACUCUUCACAAAAAAAAAUUGGUGAAAUUUAAAAAUACUGGGUGGGUGUAAAGUGGGUGGAAAGGGAAGGAAGAAAUCUAAAGGUUAGAGAGAAAAGGGAGCCCUAAAAUAUGAAGAAAGGGUGAGAGAAAGGAAAAUCAGGGUUUUUCUUUAAAGCCCCGUGACAUAGUGCCGUGACGCUCCUUUCUGGCAUCGUAAUGGCCUUUUCUUGAGUUUUUGUACAAGAGGGGGCCUGAUGCACUACAACUUGGCGUUGGGUUCAUGGCUCUGCAACGUCAUUUUUUUUAAUUUACUUACCUCAUGAGAGUCCAUAGCUACAACAAUCGAAUAAAUAACAAUCAAUUAACGAGGAAGGAAAUAUAAAAUUGACACAUUAAAAUUUCAAAUUGACUCGAAUUAAAAAAAUACUAAGAUAAAUGAUGUUGAGAAACUUGAGGUGCCUCCUAAGAAGCACUUCGUUUAGGGUCAUUGCUAGAUCAAUGUGGAGUUCAUUUGGUGUCAAAGAGAUGGAUGGACGAUCAGUGUUGAUCAAUAAGUCCACCUAGUAGUGCUUUAAUCGUUGUCCAUUCACCUUGAACAUCUCAUUGGUCAACCCAUCAAUUAUUUCCAUUGCUGCAUGUGGAAACACUUUUGACAUAUUAAAAGGUUUGAACCAUCUUGAUUCCAAUUUUCCUAGAAAUAACUUCAAUCGUGAAUUAAACACCAAAACUUGCUGACUUGGCUCAAAAUGGCACUCGAUAAUCUUUUGAUCAUGCCAUCUCUUCGUCUUUUUCUUUUACAAUUUGGCAUUCUCAUAAGCAUUUAAGCAAAUUUCAUCCAUCUAAUUUAAUUAAAGCAAUCUUUUCUCACCUGCUGCUUUUAAAUCGAAAUUUAAUUUCUUGAUGGCCCAAAAUGCACUAUGCUCUAAUUCAACUGGGAGUGACACGCUUUUCCAAACACAAACUAAUAUGGGGACAUACCUAUUGGAGUUUUGUAAGUUGUCCAAUACGCCCACAAUGCAUCAUCAAGUCUACUAGCUCAGUCUUUUUGUGACAAUGAUACCAUUUUCUCAAGAAUUCUUUUGAUUUCCUAAUUUGAUACUUCCACUUGUCUGCUCGUCUGAGGGUGAUAAGUUGUGGUUACCUUGUGUGACACUCCAUACUUUAUGAGUAACGUUGUAAAAUAUUUAUUGCAAAAAUGACUUCUUCAUCACUCAAUAGCUCUUGGUGUAUCAAAUUUGGUGAAAAUGUUUGUCUUUAAAAAUUUCAUCACCACCUUAAUAAUGUUUGUAGGGAAGACUGAGGCUUCUACCCAUUUUGACACAUAAUAGACAGCCACCUAAAUGUAUCGAUUGUUGAAUGACGAUAUGAAUGGUCCCAUGAAAUUGAUUCCCAAACAUAAAAAAUUUCCACUUCCAAAAUGCUGUUAAGCGAGAUUUCAUGUCUUCUGAAAAUGUUUCCCAUUCUUUGACAUCUGUCACAAUGCAACAUAAAGUUAUGAGCGUUUUUGAAUAAUGUUGGCCAAUACAAACCUUAUUGAAGAACUUUGGCCGUUGUUCUAUCACCUCCAAAAUGACCCCCAUUUUUAUAUGAGUGACAAUGUCUCGACACAUUUUCAACUUCUUCCUCUGGAAUACACCUUCUUAUAAUUCUGUUAGCACAUUUCUUCAACAAAAAUGGUUCAUCCCAUAGAUAAAAUUUAACAUCAUGCAAAAAUUUCUUUUUUUGAUGAAAAGUUAAAUUUAGAGGUAGAAGCUUACUCACAAUGAAGUUGACAUAGUCAACAUACCAUGGUAAUUUCUUAUGACCAACAUGUAACAAUUGUUCAUCAGGGAAAGUUUCGUUGAUCAAAGUCACAUCUUUACCUUGGUUGUCAUGCUCUAGCACAAAUAGUUGGCUACUUGAUUUUCUGAACCUUUUAUGUCUCUGAUUUCUAAAUCAAAUUCUUAUAACAGCAGAACCCAUCUUAUUAACCUUGGCUUGGCAUCUUUUUUAGCAAUCAAAUACUUAAUUGCAUAAUGGUUAGUAUAAACAAUAACUUUAGUGCUAAUCAAAUAUGAGCAAAAUUUGUCAAAUGCAUACACAAUAGCUAAUAAUUCUAUCUUAGUGGUAAUGUAGUGCAUUAGAGUUUCAAUCAAGGUUUUACUUGCAUAAUAUAUAGAAUGAAAAAUUUUAUUCUUUCUCUAUCCUAACACUGCACCUACAACCUUGUCACUAGCAUCACAAAUAAGUUCAAAUAAGAGUGACCAAUCAGGAACUACAAUAAUAGGUGUAAUUGUCAACCUUUUUUCAGUUUCUAUAAAUGUAGCAUGACAUGCAUCAUCAAAUUUAAAUGGGAUGUCUUCUUCUAAAAGAUUGCACAAAGGUUUAGCAAUUUUGGAAAAAUCCUUAAUGAAUCGUCAAUAAAAACCAACAUGUCCAAGGAAACUCUAAGUAUCUUUUACCAAGGUUGGUGGUGGACGCUUUUCAAUGGUCUCAAUCUUAGCUUUGUCUACCUCUAAUCCUUUGCUCGACACCUUGUGACCAAGAACAAUGCCUUCUUGUACCAUAAAAUGGCACUUCUCCCAAUUUAAAACUAGGAUCGUCUCCUCACAUCUUUGCAAUACCCUAUCUAGAUUGAGCAAACAUUCAUCAAAAUUAUUGCCAAAGACAGAGAAAUCAUCCAUAAAUGCCUUUAUGGUUUUCUCCACCAUAUCCUAGAAGAUAAACAUCAUGCAUUGUUGAAACGUGACCAAAGCAUUACACAAUCUAAAUGGCAUCCUUUUAAAUGCAAAAACACCAUAAGGAUAUGUGAAAGUUGUUUUCUCUUGAUCUUUUGGUGCUAUGGAAAUUUGAUUAUAACUUGAGUAUCCAUCCAAGAAACAGUAAUACUCUCUUCUAGCUAACCUUUCCAACAUUUAGUUAAUGAAAGAUAAAGGAAAAUGAUAUUUCCUUGUGACCUUGUUUAGCUUUCUGUAAUCCACGCAUACUCUCUAUCCCAUGACUAUUCGUUUGGGAAUGAGCUCAUUGUUUUCGUUAGCCACCACUAUCAUCCCACCUUUUUUUGGUACGCAUUACACCAAGCUUACCCAUUCACAAUCUAAAAUAGGAUAAAUGAUGCCAGCAUCUAAGCCACUUGAUUAUUUCUUUCUUGACUACUUCUUUCAUAAUUAGAUUCAAUCUCAUCGAUGCUCAAUAGUGGCUUUGUGAUUAUCCUCUAACAAAAUUUUAUGCAUGCAUAUUGAAGGACUUAUCCCCUUGAUAUCAACUAUUGACCACCCCAAUGCCUUUUUUGUCCUCUUUCAAAACUCUAAGUAACUUUUCUUCCUGUUUAUUAUUAAGAUCAGAUGCAACAAUAAUUGGAAGAGUACAUGAGUUUCCAAGAUAUGCAUACCUCCAAUGUUUUGGCAAUGGCUUCAGUUCUAACUCAGGGGGAUCCUCAAUUAAAGGUUUCACUGGUGAGGAUGAAUAUGAAGACAAAUCUAACAGUUCAAACCGAGUUCCCAAUAACAGAGACAGGGCAUUCAAUGCAUUAACACAUUUUAUAAUUUCUUCAUUACUAGUCUCAAUUUAGAAAUCAAUGAUGCUUCAAGUAAGUCAUUAGGAUGAUUUUCCAUAAAGACUUCACUUGUGGCCCUAUCUACCACAGUAAUUGCAAAACACUCAUCAUGAUCAUUAAUGAACUUUAAAGCACAAAAGAUAUUCAAUGUUACCUCUUGAUCUUAUAGUUGCAAGGUAAGUUCUCCCUUUUCAACUUCAAUGAGUUCUCUGGCUGUGCGUAAAAAAGGUCUCCCAAGGAUAACAAGAACCUCUUUAUCUUCCUUCAUAUCAAGAACUAUAAAAUCAGUUGGGAUAUGAAUUUAUCCACUUUCACAAGCACAUCUUCCACUAUGCCUCUUGGAUAUAUGAGAGUUCUAUCUAUUAAUUGAAGAGUUAUAAUGGUGGGCUUGAUUUCCCCCAAACCCAAAUUGUUGUAGAUUAACAAUGGCAUCAAAUUAAUACUCGCCCCUAAAUCACUUAAAACCUUAGCAAAGAAUAAGGCACCAAUUGUACAUGGAACAGUAAAACUGUCUAGGUCUUUAAGUUUUUGAGGAAGCUUAUUCUAAAUGAUUGCACUACGCUCCUCAAUGAGUGCUACUGUCUUAAACUCACCCAAUCUCCUUUUCUUGGAUAAAAUGUCCUUCAGAAAUUUUACAUAGGAUGGCAUUUGCUCUAGUGCCUCUGUAAAUGGAAUGGUGAUGUGAAGCUUUUUAAAUAAGUUCAUAAAUUUCUAAAACUUUCUUUUUAUUGCUUCUUAAAAUGUUGAGGAAAAGGUGGUGUUGGUGCAGUUGCCUUAGUCACUUCUAUUAGACAUUGAUCACUAGACCUUGAAAUUUGAGUCUUAUUCUCCCCAAUUUUGUCUUGUUGUGCAACUUCUUAUGGUUUACUUUCAACUUCCUUUCCACUUCUUAAAUUGAUGGCCUUGACAUGCUUUUUUCCCUCUCUCCUCGGAUUGGCCUCUAUAUCACUAGGUAAUGUUCCUUGAGCUUGGUUGUGCAAUAAAUUGGUAAGUUGACCAACUUGAGUCUUAAGGUUUCGAAGUGAGGCUGCUUGAUUUUGGAUGAUAGUUGUUUGACUUUGUAUGUUGCCAUCAUUUUGUGUCAUAUAUUGCCUUAACAAAUCUUCAAUAGUUGGCUUCUUUUAUGAAAGAGGUGCUUUGACUUGCUAUUGGAAUCUCAGAGGUGCAUUCGGCCAUGAAGUUGAUGACACCCCUUGAUUGUGAGCCCAAGAGAUAUUUGGAUGAUUCCUCCACCUUGGGUUGCAAGUGUUAGAGUAAAGGUUAUUUUGCUAUCUCUUCCCCAUAAAUUGCAUUGUUUUUGUUGAGGUUGGACACUAAUGAGUGGCAUGAUUAUCUCCAUAAUACUCAUAAGCUAUAAAAGGACUUUGCACAAAGUUAGUACUAAAAGAUUUAAGAGUUGUAGUUAGAGUUGUUAUCUGAGCAAAUAGUGCUGACAUGGCAUCUACAUCAUGAAUUCCAACUACUCUCUUAUGCAUUGAUUGUUCCAUUGGCCAUGUUUGCAAAUAUCUCUUCUAAUAAAUCAUAUGUCUUAUUUAUCGAUUCAGUCAUUAAAGCUCCUUUCACAACAGCACCAAUAAUGGUUUGGACCUGCCCACUCAAACCAUUGUAAAAAGUUUGCACCUAAAGCCACUUUGGAAAACCAUGAUGAAGACAACGCCGAAGUAAUUCUUUAUAUCUUUCUCAAGCUUCGAACAACUAUUUAGAAUCUUGCUACAUAAAUGAUGUAAUAUCAUUCCUAAUUUUUGCUAUCUUAGUUGGAGGAAAAAACUUGGCAAGGAACUUCUAAACAAGAUCAUCCCAUUUUGUUAUUAAGCCAGUGGGGAGUGCAUUCAGCCAUGCUUUAACGUUAUCCCUCAAUGAGAAAGGAAAAAGACUCAAACAAAUUGUAUCAUCUGUGACACUAUUCUAUUUGAAAGUGUCACUAAUCUCCAAGAAGUUUGAUAUAUGGCCAUUUGGAUUAUCAUUUGGAAGGCCCCUAAAUUGGACUGAGGUUUGAAUCAUGGUGAUGAUAGCUGACUUGAUCUCAAAAUUGUUUGCUUGAAUAGUUGGCCUUCAAAUGCUCGAUGGAAUUUCAUGUACCAACGGAGCAACAUUGUCACGACCUAAAUUUUCGGGCCAUGAUCUACGCAAGAGCCCAAUAAACGUAGCCUAUUAAGCCCAAGCAAGCCUAUCUAUUUAUUCUACUCAUCAUUCCAUCAAAUAUCACUAAGUCAUAUUUCAUACUUUUGAAUCAAAAUAGUGAUAUACAUUGCCAACUCGUACUGGCAUUACUCCUUAAAAAUUUACAUACAAUGUCUACAACAUGUAUUCUAAUAAUUUACAUUAAGUUUGUCUAUACAAAACAAAAUAACACUCGACUUCCAGNNNNNNNNNNNNNNNNNNNNNNNNNNNNNNNNNNNNNNNNNNNNNNNNNNNNNNNNNNNNNNNNNNNNNNNNNNNNNNNNNNNNNNNNNNNNNNNNNNNNNNNNNNNNNNNNNNNNNNNNNNNNNNNNNNNNNNNNNNNNNNNNNNNNNNNNNNNNNNNNNNNNNNNNNNNNNNNNNNNNNNNNNNNNNNNNNNNNNNNNNNNNNNNNNNNNNNNNNNNNNNNNNNNNNNNNNNNNNNNNNNNNNNNNNNNNNNNNNNNNNNNNNNNNNNNNNNNNNNNNNNNNNNNNNNNNNNNNNNNNNNNNNNNNNNNNNNNNNNNNNNNNNNNNNNNNNNNNNNNNNNNNNNNNNNNNNNNNNNNNNNNNNNNNNNNNNNNNNNNNNNNNNNNNNNNNNNNNNNNNNNNNNNNNNNNNNNNNNNNNNNNNNNNNNNNNNNNNNNNNNNNNNNNNNNNNNNNNNNNNNNNNNNNNNNNNNNNNNNNNNNNNNNNNNNNNNNNNNNNNNNNNNNNNNNNNNNNNNNNNNNNNNNNNNNNNNNNNNNNNNNNNNNNNNNNNNNNNNNNNNNNNNNNNNNNNNNNNNNNNNNNNNNNNNNNNNNNNNNNNNNNNNNNNNNNNNNNNNNNNNNNNNNNNNNNNNNNNNNNNNNNNNNNNNNNNNNNNNNNNNNNNNNNNNNNNNNNNNNNNNNNNNNNNNNNNNNNNNNNNNNNNNNNNNNNNNNNNNNNNNNNNNNNNNNNNNNNNNNNNNNNNNNNNNNNNNNNNNNNNNNNNNNNNNNNNNNNNNNNNNNNNNNNNNNNNNNNNNNNNNNNNNNNNNNNNNNNNNNNNNNNNNNNNNNNNNNNNNNNNNNNNNNNNNNNNNNNNNNNNNNNNNNNNNNNNNNNNNNNNNNNNNNNNNNNNNNNNNNNNNNNNNNNNNNNNNNNNNNNNNNNNNNNNNNNNNNNNNNNNNNNNNNNNNNNNNNNNNNNNNNNNNNNNNNNNNNNNNNNNNNNNNNNNNNNNNNNNNNNNNNNNNNNNNNNNNNNNNNNNNNNNNNNNNNNNNNNNNNNNNNNNNNNNNNNNNNNNNNNNNNNNNNNNNNNNNNNNNNNNNNNNNNNNNNNNNNNNNNNNNNNNNNNNNNNNNNNNNNNNNNNNNNNNNNNNNNNNNNNNNNNNNNNNNNNNNNNNNNNNNNNNNNNNNNNNNNNNNNNNNNNNNNNNNNNNNNNNNNNNNNNNNNNNNNNNNNNNNNNNNNNNNNNNNNNNNNNNNNNNNNNNNNNNNNNNNNNNNNNNNNNNNNNNNNNNNNNNNNNNNNNNNNNNNNNNNNNNNNNNNGCUUCCUUAAAACCUAGGAUCACAUUAACAUAAACAAUAGAUCAAUUUACACACUAUGACCCCUAAAAGCUAUCUCUAAACUAGCUUUCAAUUGCCACAUUAAAUGGCCAUCUAUGUUCACUAUCUUAAUCACUAAAAGUAAUGAACAUAAUCAAUAAUAAAACAGCUCAUAAAUCCCAAUUACUAGCCAUUUUCUGCAGCUAAAAACCAAGCUUAAUUCAUCACUUACCCUAAGGCUCCUUUGUAGUCAAAUUCUCUUCUAAUUGCUUCCAAAUCAGUGGGGUAAUUCUCUCUUUCUCUCUCUAAAAUGCCCAACUAGUGAGAGAAAGCAUGAAAACCAUAUUUUUGAAGGGUUUUAAAGUGAGAGGAUGAAAGAGCAUAAGGGUUUAUGGAAGAGUACACCAAAAGCAUGAAAUUUGGAGCUAGAAAGAGAAAGUUAUGGAAGCUUGAAGAAAACUCCCAUGGAAGAAUUGAAGAAACGUGAGAGAGGAGAAGGGAAGAAGAAGACAGCUGUUGGAAAUUUCAAGAAGCUGCUGGAAAUUCAAGAUAUUUAUAGGCCAAAUUUAUCCAUUCCCAUAAAAUUACCAAUUUGCCCUUUCACCAAUUAACUUACUCUCCUCCAAUCUUUUAUGAAAUCUUUUUGCUCCUUUAACACAGGGACAAAGUCCAUAAUUGUCUAGACAUGUUCAAGUUCAUAAAAACUUAAAAUUUUAACCCGAGGUGAAAAAUGACCAUUUUGCCCCUACCAUGAAAAUCGUCAAAAUUUUGGUUUCCUUUCCAUUUUACCCCUAAUUUCACCAUCCAUUUAUGCCUUAAGCCUACUUAGGCCAUAAUAUUGUUUAAAACUUACUUUUGGGAGCUUAUUAGAGAAAAUGACGAAACUACCCUUGGCUCGUAUUAUUACAUCUAUGCUUGGUUACAAGCCUAUAGAGGUUGGGGUCUCACAAACAUAAUCCCCUAACCAAUGAUUUUCAGCUACUAUGCGCACUUGGAUUUGCUGUUCACCUUGUUGAUCAGCCAUUGUAUUUAUUGGAGCAACACCUUGUUGAUUGUUAUGUCGAAGUCUACGAAAUGUUCUCUUAAUUUCUAGAUCACACGGCAUAGUCUUCAAGUUGUUUGCUCUUUUCAUACAACGACUGAACACUUACAAAACAAAGAAAUAAAACUUAAAGUAAGACUAAUAUGUGAAAUUUUAAUAUUAACAAAUAAUAAAAAAACAAAAUCCCUAACAACAGUGCCAAAAACUUGUUGUAAGUUUGCACAUGUAAGUAUACAUAUCGAACAAGUAAUAUAGACAAAAAGUCCAAAUUAUCGUUCCCACGAGGAUUUGUUUCUAAAGUUUCACUAAGUACUAAAAUUAUAUAACAAAUUAAUCUUAUUUAAGCUAAUUGAUAAUUGAAAAACUAAUCAAAGACAAUCAAAACUAAAUAAUAAGUUAACCAGCAAAAACUAAAUAUGUUGAGAAAAGUAGCAGAUUAAAGACAUAGGAUCAUUGGUUUAUUCAAUAUUUCAUCUUAUACUAGCUUUUCUUGUUAUUGAUCUUUUUUUGGUGAUUUUACUAAUCUAGAAUCCAAAGGUAUGGACAAAUCUCCAUCGAGAUGCUUGUACAAAUACCUAACUUAAUCAGUUCACUAUAUGUCUAUAGGAAUCAAUUAAAUUAAGUUCAUUAAGCAAGUGUCCUAAUUUAGCUAUGUAUGGCAAUUGGCAUAUAUCUACCCGAAUCGCAAAUCAGAUCGCCAAAGUGAUGUGAACAUACACUAUUCAAAUCUUAGUCCAACCUAAAAUCUCAAUGUCGGUUUCUAAUUAGAUUCAUGAAUCAAUUAAUUGUUAAUUAGGCAAUUCAAGGCAUUAAGAAUAUAUUUGAAUAAGUAAAACAAUACCCAUUCAUGAUAAAUAACAAAAAAAAAAAACAAGUAUUCAGACUACAUGUUGAAAUCCACCAUAAUACUAGAUAACCAAAUUAUUUCAUAAUAUCUAGAUAAAACACUAUCCAAAGAAAUUUAGCCAUGAAUUUAAAACAAAAAAAAAAAAGAAACAUAAAAAGAGAGAAAUAAACUAAUGUUGAACCCUGGCUGAUUACGAAACUCUCUCAAUUGCUCUUGAAUUCUUGAUUGAUUAGUAUCUCCAAUUCUCUAAAAAAGCUGUUGUUGUCUCUCUCUUUGAAUACUCUCAAAAAACCUCAUAAAUAUGUGCAAGAUGCCCUACUUUCCAAUUUUCGAUCAAAAUUUUAAUUUUAGAAGUCAGAGUGGUACUGCGGCCAUGACUUCUUGGCACCGCGGCACUAUGACAAGCUUUGGUAGCACCACGACACUCCUUUUUGGUUCUGCGACGCCAUGCUAUCAACCUUCAGUAUGAUGCACCCAUCCAGCCCAACACCAUGAUCAUAAGCUUCUAACAAUGCGGGGUGGUCCUUUCAGCAUCACUGCCUUGAGUAACUCAGCAUCACAGCCUCAAGCACCAUGUUACCUUAUGUGCAGUCUGCAAUUGCCUAUCAUCUUCAAAUGUGAUUUUCACCUCUAUCUAUUCUAAACUUUGCAAAGUGGUAAACAUAAAAUUAUAUCCCAUUCCCUUAACUUUAAAUUACGACAUGUACGUGUGACACGUUCACCAUACUUAUGCUAUCAUAACUCAAUUUCACCUUGCUCAUCACAUAUCCUGGACAAAAACCAUGAAAGAAUUGCAUUAACUCUUCUUAAAGUAAAUUAAAAACAAAAUAAAGUAAAAUUAAACUAAAAUAACUUAAUUUAACUAUUCAACAUGUAAUCUAACUUACAUUAGAAAAACACUUAAAAUGCUAAAAUCUGAACCUAAAACUCUAAGGUCUAGCUACUAAAGCCCCCAAAAUGUGUUAAAAAUAACUAUAUAUAAUAGAGUUAUCAAUUUGAAAAUUGUGAUUCUGAAAUAUUUUGCAAUGAAAAUUGUUUUGAUCAAAAUUUUUGAGCCUUAAAACUCCACAACAUAAUGGAGUUGUUAAAAAAAUGGGCCUUUGAAGAAAAUGGCAAGAACAAUGCUUUGUGAAAACAAUUUGCCAAAAUAUUUUAUGGCUAAAGCUGUAAAUACAGCUUUUUUAUUUUAAAUAAACCAAUGAUUUCAAAAACUCUUUAUGAGCUUUACAAAGGAAGAAAACCAAACAUUGCACAUUUAAGGAAUUUUGGAUGCAAAUGCUUUAUUUUAAAUAAUGAAAACACACCUUGGGAAAGUUUGAUGUUAAGAGUGAUGAAGUUGUUUUCUUAGGUUAUGCAAUAAACUCUAAACCUUAUAAAUUGUUUAACAAAAAAACAUUAGUUGUAGAAGAAUUUAUUCAUGUUGUUUUUUAUGAGACUAAUGUUGCACUAAGAAAAGUAAUGCGUGAUGAUGAUGCAAAUGUUAUUGAGGAGAAAAUGGAAAAGAUGAACUUGGAGAACAAAGAAGAUGAUGAAGACAACUCCAAAAAAUGAAAUGAAGAAAAACCACCAUUGAAGGACUUGUAAAGAAUUGAAGAAUAGUAUAAUGAUCUUCUUAGAACUUAAAAAUUUGUAUGAAAUCAUCCUUAAGAGAAAAUAAUUAAAGAUCCCUUUGAAGGUGUCAAAACCAAAAGAGGACUAAAAGAAGCUUGUGAAUUUGUGGCAUAUAUAUCACACAUGGAACCCCAAGGAUUUUGAGGAAGCAAAAAAGGAAGAGAGUUGGAUGAUAACCAUGCAAGAAGAACUUGGCCAAUCUGAAAGGAACAAGGUAAGGUUAGUUGCUCAAGGUUACAGUCAAGAGAAAGGUAUUGAUUACAAUGAAACUUUUGCUCCUGUAGCUAGAUUAGAAGCAACUAUAUUUUUGCUUGCAUAUGCAUGUUACAUGAAUUUCAAAUUGUUCCAAAUAAAUGUUAAAAAUGCAUUUCUAAAUUAUCUUAUCCAAUAAGAGGUAUAUGUGAAACAGCCCCCUAGUUUUGGUGAUUUUGAGGAGAUUGAUCAAUUUUAUUAAUUGUAUAAAGCAUUACAUGGAUUGAAGUGAGCUCUUAAAGCUGGGUAUGAAAGACAUUGAAAAAAUUUGACUGAAAAAGGAUUUUUUUAAAAGGAGUGUAGAUACUACACUUUUUAUUAAGAAAAGCAAAAAUGAUUUACUUGUUCAAAUAUAUGUGAAUGAUAUAGUCUUCAGUGCUAUUAAUGAAAAGUUGUGUGAGAAUUUUGCUAAAGAAAUGCAGGGUGAGUUUUAAAUGCACAUGAUAGGAGAAUUAUGUUUCUUCCUUGGUCAACAAAUCAAGCAAUGUGAGAAUGAGAUGUUAAUCAACCAAGCUAAAUACACUAAGGAGAUGCUGAAAAAGUUUGGUAUGAUGAAUGUGAAAUUAGUUAGAACACCUAUGAUCUCCUCUACAAAGCUUGAUAGAAAUGAGAAAGGAAAUGAUGUGGACCAAAAACUCUAUAAAGGUAUGAUUGGUUCACUUUUUUAUUUAACAGAAAGUCCUGAUAUAUUGUUUAGUAUGUGCUUAUGUGCAAGAUUUCAAUCAUGUCCUAAAGAUCACGCUUAACUAUUGUAAAAAGGAUAUUUAAAUACCUCUUGGAUACCCAAGACUUAGGUUUAUUGUAUCUAAAAAAUGUCAUCUUUUGAACUUUUUGGCUGUUUCGAUAUUGAUUUUGCUAGCAGCGAAGUAGAUCAGAAUAGUACUAAUUGUACUUGUCAAUUUCUUGGAACCAUGCUUAUAUCUUUAUCUUGUAAGAAACAAAAUUCAGUUGCUCUUUCAAGUACUGAAGUUGAAUAUAUUUGAGUAGGUAGUUGUUGCGCACAAAUUUUAAGGAUUAGGAAAUAAUUAAAUGACUUUGGCAUGUUCAUGCAUAAUAUUCCUAUCUUUUGUAACAAUACUAGUGCCAUUAACAUCUCAAAUAUUCUUGUUUAAAACUAAGCAUAUUGAGAUUAGACAUCACUUUAUUAAAGAUCAUAUGCUUAAAGGAGAUGUUAAAAUUGAAUUUGUUCAUACCUUGCAUCAAUUAGCUUAUAUUUUCACCAAAACCUUGAGUGAAGACCAAUUUUGUAAAUUUAAAAGAGAAUUAGGAAUGCUUGAUGAGCAUGAACUUGGAUUGAAUUGCUUUGAAUAUGUUUUUAAUGAAUUCUCAUAUCUAUUGUGUAUUAAUUUCUUAUUCUGAUCAAUUAAAAGUGGCUUUUCAGUACUUACGAGAGCUUAACUGAUUAAAAUCAUGUUUUCAUCAAUUAAACUUGUUCUAGAAUAAAGGAUGUUCCAUUUAAUCAAUUAAAAAGUCUUUUAAUUGAUUAAUUUGUUUCUGGUCAAAAGUGGAUUUGGAACUCAAAACCUGUCCAUUUUGGCUUUAGAGCACUCAAAAGUCGACUAAAUAUCCAUGGAUUCCACUUUUUAUCAUUCCAAUAACAUUGUUUGAAUUUUGUUCUCCAAUAGGCGACUAGCUAUGAUAAAGAGUCAAUUAUGCUUGAUUCUUGCAUAUUGAAAAGCCAGAAAAAGGUGCAAAACAUGCAAUGUUCUAAGGCAUAAUGAUCUCAAAACAUGGAUUUGUGUGAGAAUAAUUUAGAAUUUCAUUUCAACCAUAUUUAGAACAUCAUUUUGGACAUGUAUAAUCAAAGAUUCUUCAAGAAAAAACAUGUGAACUCAAAUUUUGGCUUAUAUUGUUCAUUGUUCACAAAUGCUAAAAAGUUGAAAUGCUCAUUUGAAGAAUCAUGUCUCUAAUAUGCUCAAACAUAUUCAAUUUACAUCAUGAUGCGUGACUAUGGCUUAUAACAUGUACAAAAAUCAUUUAAACAAUGUUUAAGCAUAAUUAGCAUCAAAUUUAACAUUUUUAACAAUUUUCCGGCAUAUGAACAAAAAUGCCCUUGUGGUUGUUCAAGCACUCCUUUGCAACAAGAACAAGACAUAAUGGCACUUUCAAUAUAAAGCAUUCUUGUUCAAGCUUUAUAUCAUUGAAAUCAUUGUAGCCUCAAGCAUUACAAGAAGGUUUGUACUUUGCUUAAAAUAUCAUCAAUGUCAAAUUAUCAUACUCAUGAUUAUACUUAAGAAAACUCUUUCAAUCUAUUUUAUAAAUCAUGAGAGAAAUAUCAAGCAAAAUGGGAUUUAUGCAAUUCAUGUAUCAAAUCAAUUUUGCUCAACCAUGCUAUAUCAUCAAAAACAAUAAAUCAAUUUCAAUCAAAGAAAAUGAAAAGAUUUUGCAAGAAAAUCAAUUGAUAAAGGUUUAAUCUUUCGUUACAAACUUUUCAACUUGAAACGUUCAAGAUUAAACAUGCUUUGUGAAAAAUCAUGAGCUCAAUAUCACUCAAUUUUGUUCAUUUACGCUUGAAAUGAUUUAUGAAAUGUGUAAUAAGCAUAAUGAAUCAUGUUUAUGCAUGUCAAGGGUCAUUUGCAAAUAUCUCACAAUUAUUUUCCAAAAAUGCCCUUAUGACCAUUCAAGUUUACAAGCAAGCAUGCACAUCCAAUAAGAACAAGUAAUAAGUAUUUUCAUUAUGAAACAAACUUAUUCAAUUCAUAAAUCAUUCUAAACUUAAAGGAUGGCAACAUUUUUCUCAUAUAAGCUCAUUUUGCUUUAAAAGUACCAAUCAAAGUAGUCAAAACUUUCAAGCUCAUUAUCAACCAUCUUGAAGCAAGUUCUAGAAUGUAGAUCAAGAUUGUUCAAAUGGUCAACUUAUGUUAGGCACAAGAAAAUCAAGGACAAUUUUUCAACUCAAUUUUCCAUGUUUUAGGCUACUUGAAUAGGUGUGAGUGUAAGUCAUCACGUAUGCUCAUAUUUUUAUCACAUUAUGCAACCUUUUAGGUUUCAAAAUUAUGCUCAAAAAUCAUUUUUCCUCAAAGAAGUAGUAUGGAAACAAUUUCACAAAACAUGAGGAAAUUUUAUAGAAACAAUCUUCCAUAAUCAAGCAAUCUUGAUAAAACAAUUUUCUCAAAAUAAGAAUGAUAAUAUAUUCAAGUUCAAAUAUAAGUACAUACUCAAUCAUUAGAUUCUUACUUCCUUGCAACUUAUAGUAUGUAUCAUAUCAAAUCAAGUUGCAUAGCCAAGAUUUAUCAAUAAAGCUCAAAGAAUUAUGCACUUAAUAUUCAAGCAAGAAUAGGCAACCAAAGUUUUCAAUUAAGAAAAGCAAACCAUUUUAGAAAUCAAGCUAAAUCAAUGAAACAUUCAAUAAAUAAACAAUCAAAAUUCUCAUUUAAACAAACAAAAGGCUUUUAGCUUAGAGAUCACCCAUUUUCCUUUAUGUGUAACUAGAGAGCAUUCAUUCUUUAAGAAUUGUUCUUCCUUGCUCUAGCACACCUACAAGAGACAUUUUUCAUUUGAUUUUUGGUAUCCAAAUUGCUUUGGAUCCUUGAAAGUUAUUGUCACAGCCUAAAUUUUGAGCUAUGACUGGCGCAUGGGCCGAAUAGGCAUAGACCACUAAACCCAAGCAAGCCUAUUUAUACAAUCCCGAUCAUUAAUCCCAACCAUCAUUUCUAAAACCACAUAUUGCAAUUCUUAAUUAUAAAUAUUUCAAUAACGUUUUAUAGCAAUCCAAUAUUCACAUUUGUAUUAUGCUAACAUAGUAUCACUCAUUUGCCACCUUACAGUGGCAUCAGUAAUCAAAUAUACAUAUUUGAUUUUUAACAUGAAUCUUAGUGGUCUUCAUUACUUAUACAUGUAGACAAGCAUAAGACUCUUGACCGUUAGCGGAGUGACCAUGGAUGAAGGACAGCUACUGAGAUGCCAUAGUACUUACCAAAAGGAUGAGCAUAUGUAGACACUCAAUCUAGGUCCCAACUGUCUUCGAAUCUGAAAACAUGAAAUUUAAAAAUGUGAGUAUAAAACUCAGUGAGUGAACAUAAAAAGGGAACAAGCAAUCGAUAGGAAGAAUUUGGAAAUCACGAUGCACUUGUUUCAAAAACAAUGCAAUUGAUUUAAUUUCUUACUAGAACCCCUUCAUUUCAAACUUUGAUCAAUAACCUCAUAGUAUUGCAAAAACUCAUGAUCAAUCCAUGAAGUUAAAUGGGUGAAAAAUAUGUCAAAAUCAAGCAAGGUAGCAAGCAUGGCAGCAAAUUUCUCAUUAUAGCGAGAAAUAAUCUUAGUUUGCAUAUGUUUGAGUUUUUCUAUCAUAUCUCCCACUGCAAAAGUCCAAUUGACCUAAUUUUUCAACCAUUAGAAAUAUAAGAGGUAGGCCUACAACUUUGAUGUUUACUACUUUUCCCAUUUCGAAUGAGAAGGUAGUUAAAAUCUUCAUCAAAAUGAAAGCAUUGCAUCAAAACUUGAGAGUUUCUCGCUGCAAUGAGAUUUAUUCUCGCUGCAGCGAGAAUCAAGCCAGUGUGACCCCCAAAACUCGAGAGUUUCUUGUUGCAGCGAAAUUGAAUCUUGCUAUUUAUUCUCGCUGCAGUGAAAAUCAAGCCAGUGUGACCCCCAAAACUCGAGAGUUUCUCGCUGCAGAGAAAAUGAAUCUCGCUGCAGCGAGAAACAGAGCAUUUUAAUUGAAAUGGGUCUUGUUACAUCAAAAGCCAUUUUCUUGUUGAAAUGAAAAACAAUUUGAGAGCAAUUAACAAUGCCAACUUGGAGCACAAUCACAAAUAUUUUCAUAACUUUCUAUAACACACACAUAUAUAUACAUAUGCAUUCAUCAUCAUGUGUGCACUCCCUACUCACACACUUCAACAUCAUCAUGUGUGCACUCCCUACUCGCACACUCUAACAUCAUCAUGUGUGCACUCUCUACUCGCACACUUCAACAUCCUCACACAACAUUAUUCAUCAAUGCACAAUGUAUAUUCAUAUACAUACAUACUAGCAUAAUAUAAUAGCACAUGGAUUCAUCCUUUUACACAUUUCACAUUUUCACAACAUCAAAGCAUUUUAUCAAAGGCUUGUUCCCUGGCACAUAUUUUUAAACAAAGGUUGAAUAAAAUCAUUCAAAUGUUUCAUCCAAAUACAUUUACAUCUCCCAAAGCAAAUUUUGAAAUGCAAGUUCACUCAUCGGUCUUGUUGAUUCUUUUGCUUGACUCUAACCUCAACUAAUACUCCAAAUGGACAUGUGAGGCCUUGUUGUAACCUAUACAUACAAAACAUCACAACCAACCCAAAUUGGCAAUAAUAUUGUCAAGAACCAAAUUUCGGGCCAUGACCAACGCAUGGGCCCAAUGGAUGUAGUCCACUAAGCCCAAGCAAGCCUAUUAAUAUGACCUGUUCAUCAUUCCAUCAAAAUUUGCUAGGUCACAUUUCAUAACUUUGAAUCAAAAUAAUACUAAGCAUUGCCAACUCAUAGUGGCAUGCCAAUUAAAGUGUACAUAUAUUGUCUCAACAUAUAUUUUAAUAAUUUACAUUGGUUUAUCUAUACACAACAAAAGAGCACUUGACUUCCAGCGGAGAGACCUGGGCGACGUACAGCUAUUGAAUGUCGAGAUACCUACCAAAGAGACGAAUCACGAGGGCACCUCAACCUAGUUAUCGACUGCCUCUUGAUCCUGAAAACAUGAAGUUGAAAACGGUGAGUAUAAACUCAGUGAGUGAACAUAAGAAGGGAACAAGCAACGAGAAGGAAGGUUUAAAGAAAUCAUGAUGCAUUUAUUUUCAAAACAAUGCAAUUUAGUUUCAUUCUUAUUAAAAAACCCCUCGUUAAACCCUUAAAUGGUUAAUCCCUUUAAAUGGCUAAUCAUUCGAUAAUGAUGAAUCCAUACAUAACAAAGAAUUUGAAGAAUGAAAGCUUCAAUGAUAUACAAGCAAGUUAAAUGAAACGUUGGGUCCUCACUGUAGCAGAAAGGCAUUCUCGCUGCAGUGAAAUUUGAGCUCAAGUUAUUAACUGGACGAGGGUUUCUCUCUAAAAUUCCUCAUUUCAAACUUAAUUAGAUAAUCCCCUAAAUGUUGGGAGUCCAUGCUCAACUAUGGUGUAAAUGAAAUGGAAAAGUAUGGCAAAAACCAGCAAGAUAGCAUAUCGGACAGAACGUUUCUCGCUACAACGAGAUUCUUUCUUGCUGUAGCAAAAUUCAAGUGGCCAAAACAGAAUGUUUCUCGCUGCAGCGAAAUUCAAGUGGCCAAAACAGAAUGUUUUUCGCUGUAGUGAGAAGCUCUAGAAAUUUUCUCGCUGUGGAGAGAAUCAGGUCAGGCAGACCCCUCAAACUUGAGAGUUUCUUGCUGCAGCGAGAAUAAUUCUUGCUGCAGCGAGAAACAAGGCACCAAAGAAAAGUUUCCAUUCUCUCAAGAAUAAGGCCAUCUUGCUGAAAUGACAAAAUCAACAUGAAACACUUAAAAAUUCCCAAAGUUCAACAUGCCAAAUUUUCAUAUGCAUUACAAUCAUAUACCAUAUUCAUGAGCUUUUAUUUCAUAAACAUAUAUAUACAUAUAUACAUAGAAAAACACCAAUACCACCAUCGUCUCACCCAGCUCAUGUGCAUCCCCCCACAUUGUGCACAUAGCCGGGGUCAUCGUGUGCAUCCCCUCACAUCGUGCACAAUUAGUGUCAUCGUGUGCAUCCCCCCACAUCGUGCACACGGGCACUUUCAUCAUCCAACUCCCUCAACACCGUCAUCACCGGCAUGUGCAUUCCCCCACAUCGUGCACACGCACGGUCAUCAUUAUCACACAAUAUCAACCAUCAAUGCACAACAUAUAUAUAUAUAUAUAUAUAUAUAUCAACAUAAUGUAGUAGUACAAGAAUCCAUAAUAGCCAUAUGCCACAUAUAGAGACAAUUUAUCAAAGGCUCGUUCCUAAGGCACCCGUUUUUAAGAAAAGUUGGAUAAAAUCAUUCAAAGGUUUUGUGCAAAUACAUUCAAAUGCAAGUUCACUCACCGAUAUUUUGUUGAACCUUUAGUCGACUCUAACUUCCCUAAUAGUCCAAAUGGGGCGAUGGGGCUUCGUUGGAACCUAUCAUCACAUUAGCAUCACCAUUAUGUCAAUUCACAUACUUAUAAAUUCUAAAAGCUAUCUCUUAGCUAGCUUCCAAUUGCCAUUUAAAUGGCUAUCUAUUUUCACUAUCCUAAUCACUCCAAAGUGAAUGAACAACAGCAACAAUAAAACACUCACAAAUCUAACUACUAGACAUUCUCAACACUUAAAUAUCAAUUCUAAUUCACUACUCACUUUGGUAGCUUUGUAAUUGAAAUUCUUUCCAAAAAAUUUCAAGCUAUCAUUGAAGCUCCCUCUUUUUGUCUUUAAAACACCUAGCUAGUGAGAGAAAGUAUGGAAGUAAGACUUAUCAAGGGUUUUAAAGUGAGAGAGUGAAAAAACACAUAGGUUCUAUGAAAGGGUGCACAAAAGCAUGAAAAUUGGAGCUAGUUUGAGAAAGGUUAUGGAGGUUUCAUAUCAAGCUUCCAUGGAGGAUGAAGAAACGUGAGAAGGAAGAAGGAAGGAGAAGAAGAAGCUGCUGAAAAUGUGAAAAGAAGCUGUUAGAAGCUGAUAUUUAUAACUCAAGCUUAUCCAACUUCACUUAAAUUACGAAAAUGCCCUUAACAAGCUAGCUUAUUCUUCUCCAAUCCUUUGUGCAAUCUUUUUACUCUUUUGACACUGAGGCCAGGUCCACAAGGGUCUAAAAAUACUCGAGUUUACAAAAACUUAAAAUUUUGACCCAAGAUGAAAAAUGACCAUUUUGCCCCUACCUCGAGAAUCAUCAUUAUUUUUAUUUCCUUCACCAUUUUACCCGUAUUUCAUCAUUCAUUUAUGCCUUGGGCCUACUUAGGCCAUAAUAUUGUUUAAAAACUUACUUUUAGGGACUUACUAAGGAAAUGACGAAACUACCCCUAGCUCGUGUUAUUGCGUCAUGCCUAGUUACGAGCUUAUAAAGGUCGAGGUCUCAUAAAUAUAAUCCAAAAGCUCUUUUCUAAUCAAGUUCCACUAGUUAUUCCUAACGAGCUUCCAAUUGCCAUUAAAUGGCUAGUUAUUCACACUACUUUAGUCACCCUAAGAGUGAAUAAACAACCUCAAUGAUAAACACUCACAAACCCUAUUGGUAGCCAUUAUCAACAACUAAAGAAAUUUAACCAUAACUUAUACUCACCUUGAUGGUCUUUGUAGUUGAAUUCUCUUUCAAAAUUCUUCAAGCUAACAAGGGAAAUCACUCUCUCUCUCUCUACAUGUCCAACUAGUGAGAAGAAAAUGGAAGUAAGACUUUUUUAAGGGUUUUAAGGUGAGAGAGUGAAAGAGCACAAAAGGUUCUAUGAAAAAGUGCUCAAAAGCAUGAAAUUGAAGCUAGAGAGAGAAAGUUAUGGAAGCUUUAAGGGAGGCUCCCAUGGAGAUGAAGAAACGUGAUAGGGGAAAGGAAGAAGAAAUGGCUAGAGGCUGCUGAAAAUUGCUGGAGCUUUAGAUAUUUGUAUCUAAAGUUUAUCAUUUCUCACAUAAAUUACCAAAAUGCCCUUAACAUGGUGACUUUGUCUUCCUCUCAUCCUUUGUGUAACUUUUUACUCUUUUGACACUAGGGCAAGGUCCAUAAUAGUCUAGAAAUACUCAAGUUCAUGAAAACAUAAAAAUUUAGACCCGAGCUACAAAAUGACUAUUUUGCCCCUACCAUGGAAAUUAUCAUUAUUUUUAUCUUCUUCAUUUAUUUACCAUCAUAAACAUCAUUUAUUCCUUCCUUAGGCCUAUUUAGACCUUAAUAGCAUCAAGAAAACCCACUCGUAAGAGCUCACCAAGAGAAAUUACGAAAUAACCCCUAGUCCGCAUUAUCACGUCUACUUCUAGUUAUGUGUCUAUAGAGAUCGAGAUUUCACAGGUUCACUUCUGAAUUAUCCUUUUUAACUUGGUAAUUAACCUCAAUUGGCAUCCGUAAACUUUAUUAGCCAUAGUAUCAAAAUAUGGGGUACUACAGUUAUUCUUGUUGUAUAAAGUUCCUUUUAGAACCCAUACUUGUCUAAAUUUAUAAGGUAAACAUUUUUUAAUUGGACAAGUGUAUGAAUAAUAACUAAAAAAUGUGCAAUGAUUGCAUUUGGUCAUUUUGGAAGAUGAAGAAUUCAUGAAAGCCUUUUGUUUCUCAUUUAAUAAAUCUUCAAAUUUUCUUUUCACAUCAAAAUUUUCUUUUUCCAAAAUAUCAAUUUUCUUUUGGUAAGCUUUAAAAUCUUUUUCCAAAUUUUCUUUUUCUUUUUCCAAGUCAAUUUUUACUUUCAUCAAAAAUUCAUUUUCAACAUCGAGUAUGGAAAUAAUUUUCUUGUGCUUUACAUUCAUUUUCUCAAACUAAAAUGCUAAAUCCUCAAAAGCAACAUGCAAUUCAUCAAAAGCAUAUGAAUUAAGUUCACAAAAUGAAGAAGUUACCUUUAUCUCUUCAAGAACCAUGAGGCAUAAUUCAAUUUGAUUUAAGGAUUUAUCUUCACUUGAUUCUUUGUGUGCAUUUGCCAUAUUGCUUGUUGAGCAUUGAUUCUCACAAGAGUUGUCUUCGAAUUCCUUUUGCUUCUUUAUUUCUCCAUAUAACUCUUCUAAUUUUUGUCAAAUUUCCUUGCCACUUUUGCACAUGAACACUUUAUCGUAUUCUCUAUAAUGAAGUGCACAAAAAAGAGUGUGCAUGGCCUAAGAGUUCGUUUGUACUUUCCUCAUUUCAGCUUCAAUCCAUUUAUUUCUUCUAUCUUUGGGAGUUUUCUCACCAUUUACAGAAUUUGUAAUCAUAGGAAUGAAAAGACCAUCGGUAAUGACAUCCCAUAUCUCAUAGUCAUAAGCCCUAAUAUAAAUGGACAUUCUAGUACUUUAAUAAGGAUAGUUUAAUCCAUCAAAUAGAUGAGGCAUAUUAAUGCAUUGAUCCUUAGCAUCAACAGAUUUUUCUAGAGCCAUUUGGAUCUCCCCUAAGGAUGUUAAGCCUUAAAAAUGAGGGUUAAGCUCUAAUACCACUUGUUGGUCCCAAAGAAUGUGCUAGAGGGAAGGUGAAUAGCACUUUUGGAAUGACACUAAAAUUUUUUCCAAGUAAAAAGCUGAUUAAAGGAAUUUAAAAAUGGAAAUUUAAAGCUUGCUAGAGGAAUGAUUCAAUUGCUGAGAGUAAGAAGAAAACAAAAGAAAGUAGACAAAACACAAUGAUUUAUAAUGGUUCGGUCCCCUUAACCUACAUCCACUACCUUGAUCUCCUAAUCAAGGAUUUUCAAACCAGUUCACUAAAAUCAAUGGAAUUCCCGAGCUUCCACCAAGUUUUUACAAUGGCUUUUCACAAGCUCAGCCACAACCUUUAACAAUGGUUUUUCACGAGAUCAACCAAAACCCAAAAUGGCUUUUCAAAGGCUCAACCACAACCUUUAACAAUGGUUUUUCAUGGGAUCAACCAAAAUCCAAAACUAACUUUUCUCAGGCUAAGUUAGAACCUACCACAACAACCAAGCUAACCCUACUUGAUCAACUCCUUAAAGUGGCUUGCACACUCUAAGUAAUCAAGAAAUGAAGAAAAGAUGAAGUACAAUUCAUCACCUAGCUAAUCUAAGAUGCACAAAGUUAAGCUCAAACACUUUUUCAAAGGAUAGGAGUGAAAUACAAGUGAAAAUAGAAGGUUUUUAGUCUUCUCAACUCAAAAUCACUUUGGAUAACUUCUCUAUAUUAUUUUUGACUGUUGGAGAGGCUUUAAAUACUUGCAAAAUCAAUUUUGGCCGUUGGAGACAAAAACUAGCCAUUUCUAGCUAUUAUUUUGUCCUUUUGUGCUUAAAUUCAAAUUUUCUAACAGAAUACUCUUAGUCGACUAACUAUGUUUCUUAGUCGAUUAAGUUGUCUCUAUUUUUAAACCCAGUCUCUAGCAGUAAGCUCUUAGUCAACUAACAAUGCUUCUUAGUCGAUUAAGUCAUCUUUGUUUUUGAACCUAGUUUUUAGCAAUAAGCUCUUAGUUGACUAACAAUGCUUCUUAAUCGAUUAAGUCGUCUCUGUUUCUGAACCGGCCAUCUUCAUUUUGAGUUUUAGUUGACUAUCUCCCUUGGUUAUCCGACUAAGAGGCUUCUGUUUGUAUCCAACACCCGCUUAAUUGAUUAAAUCUUGUGUUAACCAGUUAAGAUUAAUCUGUCUUCAUUAAAGCUCUUUCUUCUUUGCUUAUUUAACCAAUUAACCUAUCUUGCAACUGAACAAGCAUCUUGACUUGCUUUCAAAUACCAAAUAUAUUAAUGAAUUUAAGCUUUUUCCUACACACUCAAAUAAUAUAAUUAGACAUCAAUGAAUGGGAAUAUUUUGCUAUCGUAAAAAACAUACAAAGUCAACAUUCUCUAUCUCUUAUUUUUUAUGAUCACAAAACACUCCUAGAUUCAGAUUGCAAUGUCUAUAUUCAAUAUGAAUGCUUUAAAUCUUUAUGUGUAAUGAGUUGCUCCCCCUUAGUCAAUGCAUCUAGUUUUCUUUAGAUAAUAUUCAACAAAACCAAAACUAAGAAUCACACACAUAAAUUAAACAUGAAGUCUUUUAAACUCUAUUUAACUCAAUCUUCUUUCUCUCCUUUUUCUUUUUCAUCAUUAAACAAGAUAUUCAAAACUCCCCCUUAAUGAGUGCGUCUAGAUUUUCCUUUGAUCUUUAAGUCAGACUUUAAUGAAUGAGAAUCAUAAGCACUCAUACACUUUUAAUGAAUGAGAAUCAUAAGUACUCAUACACUUAAGUCAUACAAGCUUAUAGAUAUAGUUCAACUACUUCAAGAGUCAAGCUUGUGUCUAUGCAAAAACAAAUGUAUGGGAGUUAAAUCAUUUCAAGAAAUUAUCAAGGAUUACUCAAAUAAUGUUCAAGCAAAUUUGAUCAUUUUGUCAUAAUCAAAACUAUAAUAAUUUUAAAGUUAACACACUCAUAUUGAUAUUAUUAAUUCUUUUGUGCUAAAUUAACAAAUUUUGAAAACUGAGAAAUUGUUCAUGAGUGCUUGAUUUUUUUUUUAUUUUUCAUGUGCUUACAUUAAAAAAUCAUGUCUUGAGAAUUAAAAUGUUCAAAUGCUUAGUCUAGGAAUAAUUCUUGAAAUAUGUUUCAUGUUUGUACUUAACUGAUUGUUUCAAGAUUGAAUUAUUGCCUAGGCUCAUAAAAUUGAUUAAGAUGAAAUCAUUGAACUUUAUAAAAAAAAAAUUUCGUUCAUCUAUUGUUUUGGUCAAGUCAAAUGCUUACAUGACUUUUAAUCUUGAUUGACAUUAAUGAUUGAAGUCUAAAACUUGACUUAAGUAAUAGAAUUACUUAUGGUACAUAAUUUCAUAACUCAAGUCAAGUUUGAUUAUGACAUAUAUUGUGUUAACAUAGUUGAAAUCUUUUAAAUAUGAAUUUGAUUGUUAACUAUGUCUCUCACGGGCUUAAAUGAUUACAUAAUCUAAAGAUUUUGUGUACAUCCAACUUUAUCUAUAAAUAACUUUCAUGAUUAACGAACUUGAAUUAUUUUAGUGAGAUUAAGAGUAAUUCUAAGUUUAUUGGAGCUUGGAAUAUCUACGUCUAAAUGGAUUCCCCACUCACCUUUAUAGAAUUCAACUUGUUUAAGUUGGAAUGCAUGUUUUAUUUAAUUAUUUAAAUUUAUUUAAAAAAAUGGUAACUUUACAUAUUGUCUUAAUUAAUACAAGAGUUGUCUCAAUUUAGACAAAGUACAUAUGUUGUCUUAAUUAAGACAAUAGUUGUUUUAAUUUAGAUAGAAAUAUUUGUGUUGAUUGAAGAUAAGAGAUGUCUAAAUUAUAUUAUUUUAUUUUUGGUAAGUCAAAAAAUUGUCUUAAUGAAUAAGUAUUUUUUUAAAACAAGAGCUGUCUUAAAAUGAAAAAUAUUUAUUAAGAUAAUUAUUGUCUUGAGAUAAAAUAAUAUGGGAGGAUUUUAAUUAUAAUUAAAGAAUUAAAUAGUUUAUUCUUUAUUUACAAUUAAUUACAAUUUCUUGAUAAAUUAUAAGAGCCCAUGUUUGAUUAGAAUUUCUUCAUUUUAUUAUUAAUUUUUUUAAUUAAAGAUGGAUAAUAAUAAAAUAGAAUAUUUAUUUAAUAAGGAAUCAUAUUUUGACUUGGACAAAUAAUUAUAAUUAAAUAAAUAAAUUAUUGAUAUUUAAUUUUAAUUUUAAUUAUUAUUGGAGGAGUAUGGUACAACAAUAACAUUUUACAGAUGAGCAACUUGGACUCUUGAUAGCAAUUUAUUUUUAAUUAAAAAUAAAAAUAAAAGAAGAGUUCAUCAAGAAACAAAAUUAAAGGGUGGCUGUACCUUAUAAUAUAAAAAAGGGUAAAAGAAAAUUUCAUCAUCUUUUAAGGCCGAAACCUUAAGUCCAAAAAUUCCUCCAAGAAUCCUCCAUAGCCACCUUUUCUCUUUAGGUUCUUCUUGAUCUCCAAUCUAAGUAUAUUUUUCUAGAAACCUCUCACAAGAAAAACAACCAUAAAUUUAAAAAAGGAAAUGAGAGAAAUUCAAUUGUUACCAUCUUGAUUUAUUCCAUACCUUGUCUACUUAAGGUUCAAGCUGAAAGCCAUUCUUGAAGAAUAAGUGGUAACUUUAUUUCGUUGAGAAAUCGAUGGUGUGGUGGUGAAUUUAUUAUAAUUCACUAAGAGUCAAGAAUCAAGAAUCUUGUAAAGGAAAAACCUAUUUUAGUAAUUUGGGCAUAACUUUCUCUCUAGAGGUCCAAACGAUGUGAUUCUAAAGGCAUUGGACAGCUAAAAACAGAACUAUAAUUCUUAUGAUGACCAUAUUUCCCAGUUUGAAUGGGAUCAAGGAGAAAAAUUUGUCACUUGUUGCUAGUUAGUGGGAACCAAAUUUGAGGAACGAGAUCAAGGAAAGGUAUGUUCAUCAUUAUUUAUAGAUUCUUGAUUUUUAUAGAUGUGAUUACAUGAUUUUGCAAUAAGUGUGAUGUGUGAAUUCACUUGUGUAUUUGGAUUGCUUGCUUUUGUAGUUAGAAAAUUUUUGAAAUCCAUGGUUUACAUAAACACAUCUAUGCAUAAAGAUCCAAUCUCCAACAGUGACUCCCAUAGAGGCUCAUCAAGUAGGGAGCUUAAAAGAAUGAAACAAUGGUUGUUACACUCAACAUGAAUUUACUAUUAACUUACCUACAAUAGCUUUGUUAGUAUACUUCAUGCACCAAAUAAAGGUGCUUUUUAACCAUGUUAGGUAUGAAGAUAUGGGGUAACAUAGUUAAGUGGGAUGGUCCUAGUUACCUAGUAGUAAAUUCUCACAACCCACCAUCGCUUUAUUUAUCAUAAAAAAGUGAAUGACCACAGAACUAAUAAUAUAAUUUAUAGGGUUUUAUAUAUUAUCAUCAUGCAUGCAUUAAUCAAGAAUUGUUCGAAGUCCAUGUAUAACUAGUAUACUUAUAAAAUUUCAAAUGUACUUUUAGAAACAUAUUUGCAUGCAAACAUGAAUCCACUUUCCAUUUUGUUAAAUAAAUGUACUCUUGAAGGUGAUAACUAUAUUGAAUAGAAAAGGAACCAAAAUAUCGUCUUAAAUUAUGACAAAAUCACAUGGGUUCUUUCUAAGCAUGGGCCUAAACCACUUACUCCCAAAUCAACUCCAUAAGUGCUAUAUACUACUGAACAGCAUAUUGCAAAAGCAGCACAAGGGCAUAGGCUAAGUGCUAUAUGCUGCUGACAUGAUGUUGCACUUGCAUGUGAUGUUUAGUGCUAAAAUAAGGUCUGUUAAGGUAAAAGCAAUCAAUGCUUUUAAAGACCCUAAGUAGAAACUUGGGGAGCUAGUUAGGGAUUACAUGUUGAAAGUAAUCUCUUAUCUCAAUGAGGUAGCACUAUAUGGUGUUGAGAUAAUUACAGAAAUGCAAAUAUCCAUGAUCGUUCAUAGCCUAAAUUCAUCUUUUUCACAGUUCAAAUUGGAUUAUGAACUGCACAUUAGGGAUUACACCCUAAGUGGGCUAAUGAAUUAUUUGCAAAAUAUGGAAAAGUUUCUUGAAUUGAAAAAGAAACCAAAACCACAUGCAGUUUCCACUUCUAAGCCCAAACCCAAAGGUAAAAAGAAGAAAGCUAGAGAUAAAAAUAGUGUAAAAGGCUCAAUGGGAGUUAAGAAAAAGCCCAUGAAGAAGUUUACUUCAAAAGACAACACCCAGGGAAAGUGUUUCAACUGUGGUGAGAAAGGACAUUAAAAGUGAAAUUGCAAGGUUUACCUUGGAAUCCAAAAGAGUGAACAAGGUAUGGGUUUUCUAAAUGUAAUAGAAGCUUGUUUGGUGGUUUAUUCUAUAAAUACAUAGAUAGUAGAUUCUGAAGCCAUAAACCACGUUUGUUAUUCUCUGCAGGGUUUCAACAAAGGACAAAACUAACUUAAGGGUAGUUUCAAAUGAGGAUGGCAAUUGGCACUCAUUCAGCAAAAGUGAUGGGAGCCAUCGCUCUUCAAUUUCCUUAUGGUCGUAGUUUAUUUUGGGAAAAUGUUUCUUACAUUCCAAAGACUUAUAAAAAUUUAAAUUUUGUUUUUUGUUUAAUAAAGUCUAUAUAUUCAGUUUACUUUUUGUUAGAUAAAUAAGCUUAAAGUAAAGUAACCAAAAAGGGAGCUGAAUUGGUUAUCAAAUAAAAAUUUUCCUUUUUUGAAAUUUCAACAUAGCUAAAGUACAAAGAACGGAGUUAUAAAAAUAGAGUAUAAGCUAAGUAAGUAAACUGUAAAAAAGGAAAGAGUACCCAGCCAAGCUUUUAUUGAGGUUUGACCAUUGAUGCUUACGUCUUCUCCCUUGAUAGCACAAGGAGUUCGAAUCCACUAUCAACUUACCUUUUAACACGAGAUCAGGCGUAACUUUUACAAUAAAAUGCCUUUUGUCAAACCCUGUUCUAUAAAAUAAUUACGACGUCAUUUACAUGCUCAAUAGAAUGUUUACAGAUUUAGAGAGUUUGAGAAAUCGUUAAAAGACGAUAUUGCCCCUAAUGGUACCAUUGAGUCGAUUAAGCCUCGAACUAGUUCAAAUAGGAAUUUUAAGGUGAAAUUAAGAGUUUCACAAUUCAUGGAUGACUCAAAAUGGUAAUUCGGAGUUCGAGGAUCAAUUUGGAGUCAAACCAGAAUUUUCACUAUCUAGGGGUAAAAUGGUCAUUUGCCACUUGGGGACCAAAUGGGAAUUUUUAGAAAAGAUUUGUUUUGGUCCAUUUGACUUAUUGGAGUAUGAUUUAAGUAUUGGAAUAUGAUUUGAAGUUUAGAAGUGAAAAAUUUUAAUUCCUAUAUAAUUUGGAGUAUAAGGGUGAAAUGGUAAUUUUGCCACCUCGGGGGCAAAUCGGUAAAUUUUCACCCCCGACACUUGUCAAGACCAAGGGAUUUUAUUCAUCAUGGAAAUGGAUAAACAUGAGAAAUGUGUGGUGGAGAAUUAAAAAAUUAAAAGUCAAAUAUUUAAAAUUUGAGCCAAUAAGGAAAUGCCAUGUGUCGUGUUUUUAUUAUUUUAUUAUUUCUUUAUAAAANNNNNNNNNNNNNNNNNNNNNNNNNNNNNNNNNNNNNNNNNNNNNNNNNNNNNNNNNNNNNNNNNNNNNNNNNNNNNNNNNNNNNNNNNNNNNNNNNNNNNNNNNNNNNNNNNNNNNNNNNNNNNNNNNNNNNNNNNNNNNNNNNNNNNNNNNNNNNNNNNNNNNNNNNNNNNNNNNNNNNNNNNNNNNNNNNNNNNNNNNNNNNNNNNNNNNNNNNNNNNNNNNNNNNNNNNNNNNNNNNNNNNNNNNNNNNNNNNNNNNNNNNNNNNNNNNNNNNNNNNNNNNNNNNNNNNNNNNNNNNNNNNNNNNNNNNNNNNNNNNNNNNNNNNNNNNNNNNNNNNNNNNNNNNNNNNNNNNNNNNNNNNNNNNNNNNNNNNNNNNNNNNNNNNNNNNNNNNNNNNNNNNNNNNNNNNNNNNNNNNNNNNNNNNNNNNNNNNNNNNNNNNNNNNNNNNNNNNNNNNNNNNNNNNNNNNNNNNNNNNNNNNNNNNNNNNNNNNNNNNNNNNNNNNNNNNNNNNNNNNNNNNNNNNNNNNNNNNNNNNNNNNNNNNNNNNNNNNNNNNNNNNNNNNNNNNNNNNNNNNNNNNNNNNNNNNNNNNNNNNNNNNNNNNNNNNNNNNNNNNNNNNNNNNNNNNNNNNNNNNNNNNNNNNNNNNNNNNNNNNNNNNNNNNNNNNNNNNNNNNNNNNNNNNNNNNNNNNNNNNNNNNNNNNNNNNNNNNNNNNNNNNNNNNNNNNNNNNNNNNNNNNNNNNNNNNNNNNNNNNNNNNNNNNNNNNNNNNNNNNNNNNNNNNNNNNNNNNNNNNNNNNNNNAAAUUUAAUAAUGAUUUCAAAAAUAGAGUAAUUGGAGACCUAUACUAUGAUUGUGUUGUUUAUCCAUGAUUUUACAUUAAAUGGCUUAUGAUAAAUGUGGGUAUGACUGGUUAUUUUUAUGAUUUUAAGAAUAUGUGAACUGUGUGUUAAGUGAGCCAUGUCAUACUAUUGUGAUUUUAUUGGUUGGUGGAUUAUAAAGUGGGCACUACAGUGACAGAGGUUCCGUGGGCCAGCCUAAUUAGAGGGGCAUGGUUCCCAAUUAUUGAGCUUACCUCGAUUGGAGAGGCGCGUAGGAUAACUCUCGAGGUAGGAUUUGAGUACACUUCACGCUGGCCACCACGUGAAACUGGGAUUCAGCCAACACCGAGGAAUGGCUGUGUUGUCAGAGGUGAAAUGUGUUUGUGUGUGUGACAAUAAACAACCUUGGCGGGGUAUCCCUGUGAAUGGAUUUUUGACAAGGGCCAAGUUUUUGAAAAGUGCAUAAGCCAUGUUGAGUAAUUGGAUGAAAUCCAAUUAUUUAUAUGGGUUGGGAUGAAUUAUUUUAAUUGUCUCCUAUUACUCGGCUUUAGAUUAUUUUGAUGAUGUCUGUCUACUCACUCGAAUUUUAUAAUCUCACCCCUUCUUCCUAUCCAUUUUUCAGGCUCAGAAUAAUUUGUUAAUAGUUGAUUAAGACGAGAAUUAAUCUCGGAGUUGCAUCUUAGAAAGUAAGGGUUCGUAACCCUACAUUUUCUUAGUCAGUUGGGGGCCAACGUGUCACUGUAAAAGUAAUUUUAUUCUUCAGUUAUUUAAUUUAAAGUAUGUAUGAAUAUAUUUAGCUUUUACACCAUGUUUUUGGCGAGUUUCGGUAUUUUCGAAGAAAAAUAAUAAAAAUGCCCCUGUAAGCCAGAAAGUAAUAUUUUAUUGUUUUGAUUUGGAAAUGACUUAUGAUUUUUUUUGAAAUGUGAGAUUUAAUAACUAUCGCUCACUAGGGAGAUGUGAAGCUGAUGCUAAGUCUUGCGGGGUUUCGAUUGACAUUCGGGGUAAUGAGUGCCUAUCGGGACGUCGCGACGGUUGUCACGGGCUCGAUGAGAGUUUCGGGUCGUGACACCUUUUCAAGGAUCAAGCACAACCUCAACCAAAGUCACUACCUUUUUAGGAUCAAGCACAACAUUUACAAUCAAAAUGACUUUUAAGGAUCAAGGAGGUAUAAUUUAUACAAUAGUGGAUUCUUAAAAUAAUCUCUAGCUCAAAACCUAUAAUUGUUGGUCCUAAAUAAAUGUGUUAAAGGAGGGUGAAUAGUAUUUUUGGCUCUUACUAAACUUCAUUUCCAAUUGGGGGUAAAUUGAAGGUCAAUGAUGAGAAAUUUGAAGCAAGAUGAAGGAACGACUUAAGAAAGAAUGAAAAUGAAAAAUAAAACAGAGGAGAUAAAACUCAAAGAUUUAUAGUGGUUCAGUCAAAAACCUACAUCCACUACCUUGAUUGUUCAACCAAGGAUUUUUCAAACCAAAUCACUAAAAACAAUGGAAUUCCCUAGCUUCCACCAAGCUUUUACAAUGGCUUUUCAUUGGCUCAGCCACAACCUUUAACAAUGGUUUUUCACAAGAUCAACCAAAACCCAAAAUGGCUUUUCAAAGGCUCAAUCACAACCUUUAAUAAUGGAUUUUCACAGGAUCAACCAAAACUCAAAACUAACUUUUCUAAGGCUAAGUUAGAACCUACCACAGCAACCAAGCUAACCCAAGCUUGAUCAACCCCUUAGAGUGCCCUACACACUCUAAGUAAUCAAGAAAUGAAGAAAAGAUGAAGUACAAUUGAUCACCUAGUUGAUCUAAGAUGUACAAAGCUAAGCUCAAACACUUUUUCAAAGGAUAAGAGUGAAAUACAAGUGUAAAGAGAAGGUUUUUGGUCUUUUAAGCUCCAAAUCACUAUGGAUAGCUUUUCUCUCUUGUUUUUGACUGUUAGAGAGGCUUUAAAUACUUACAAAAUCAAUUCUGGCCAUUGGAGAUAGAAACUAGCCAUUUUUAGCUGUUAUUUUGUCUUCUAAUGCUCAAUUUAAAUUUUCUGGCAGAAUGAUCUUAGUCGACUAACUGAGCUCUUAGUCAACUAAGUUGUCUCUGUCUUCUGAUCCUAGUUUUUGACAAUGAGCUCUUAGUCAACUAACUUCUUUUUUAGUUGAUUAAAUUGUUUCUAUCUUGAAGUCCAGAUUUCUGGCAGUAGGCUUUUAGUCAACUAACUUACUUCUUGGUCAACUAAGUCUUCUCUGUUUCUGAACUAGCCAUCUUCAUUUUUGAGUUAUUAAUUUAUUAUUGACAUACAUUUUGUCCUGCACACUCAAGUAGUAGAGUUAGACAUAAAUGAAUGGCAAUGUUUUAUUAUCAUAAAAAACUUAUGGAGCCAACAAUCUUCCUUCUUUUUUUUUUUGGAUGACGACAAAACAUUCCUUGAUUAAUAGCACAAUGUCUAUUAACUCUUUUUGUUCUGCACAAGAUGAGGAAUUUCUCCCCUUGAGUGUGUGUGUCACGACCCAAAUUUCAGGCCAUGACCGGCGUAAGGGCCCAAUAGACGUAGUCCAUUAAGCCCAAGCAAGCCUAUUAAUCUAACAUGUUCAUCAUUCCAUCAUAAACUGCUAAGUCAUAUUUCAUAACUUAGAAUCAAAAUAAUAUUAGACAUUGCCACCUCAUAUUGGCAUACCAAACAAGUGUAUAUACAUUAUCUACAACAUGUAUCUUAAUAAUUUACAUUAGGUUUGUCUACACACAACAAAAGAAUACUCGACUUCCAGCGAAGAGACUCGGACUAAUGUACAGCUACUGAAUGCCGAGACACCUACCAAAAGAUGGAUACAAGUCUACAAGGACACCUCGUCCUAGUUAUUGGCUACCUCGUGAUCUGAAAACAUGAAGUUGAAAAUGGUGAGUAUAAACCCAGUGAGUGAACAAGGAAGGGAACAAGCAACCACAAGGGAAAUUUAAAAUCAUGAUGCACUUGUUUCAAAACAAUGCAAUUUAGUUCCAUUCAUAUUAAAAAACCCCUCAUCAAGCCCUUAAAUGAUUAAUCAUUUGAAAAUCAUGAACCCAUACAUAACGAACCAUUUGAAAAAUGAAAGCUUCAAUGAUACGCAAGCAAGUCAAAUGUGACAACAAAUCUUUGCUGCAGCGACGUUGGGAUUAAGUUACUAGCUGAACAAGGGUUUCUCAACUGGCCGAGGGUUUCUCACUAAACCUCGUCAUUUUAAACUUAACUCAUUUAGUCCUUAAUGUUGAAAGUCCAUGCUCAGAUAUGGUAACAAAGAAGUGAAAAAUAGGGCAGCAAUUGGACAAGAUAGGGGACAAAACAGAAAGUUUUUCACUGCAGUGAGAUUCAAUCUCGCUGCAACGAAAUUGUGACCUAAAAACAGAAAGUUUCUUGCUGCAACGAGAAUGAAUUUCGCUACAGCGAGAAGCUACAGUGUCAUUCUCACUGCAGUGAAAAUGCAUUCUCACUGCAGUGAGUUUUCAGCCAAUCUACCCCUCCAAACCCGAGAGUUUCUCGUUGCAGCAAAAAUGAUUCUCGCUAUAGCGAGAAACAGGGCACCAAUGAAAAAUUUUCCCUUCUUCCUAAAGAAAAACCACCCUGCUAAAAUGUCCAAACCAACAUGAAACGCAUGACAAUUUUCCAAGUUUAACAUGUCAAGUUUCACAUGCAUUACAACCAUAUACCAUUACUAAUUAAUUUCCUAUAACACACAUAUUUACAUAUGUAUAUAUGUAUAUGUAUACCCAUCAUCAUCAUGCACACCAUCCCAUCAUUAUGCACACCAUCCCAUCAUCAUCAUACACACCAUCACAUCAUCAUCAUCACCAGCUCAUGCACACUCCCUACUCGCACAUGGCUAGGUCAUCAUCGGGUUAUGCGCACUCCCUACUCACACAUAACCGAGUCAUUCUUGGCUUAUGCGCACUCCCUACUCGCACAUAGCCGAGUCAAUAUAAUUACACAACACUAUAGUCAAACACAUAUGUAUAUCAACAUAAUGCUGCAACAUAGAGAUCCAUGAUAACCACAUGUCAUAACAUAUAAUUGAUUUAUCAAAGGCUUGUUCCCAAGGCACUUGUUUUAACCAAAGUUGUAUAGAAUCAUUAAAAUACUUUGUACAAAACGGUCAUAUUCCCAAAACUAUUUUGAUAGGCAAUCCACUCACAAGUAUAUUGUUGAGCCUUUAGAUGACUUUAAUUCCCCUAAUUGUCCAAAUGGGAUGAUGGGGCUGUGAGACCUCAACCUCUAUAGGCUUGUAACUAAGUAUAGAUGUAAUAAUACGAGCCAGGGGUAGUUUCGUCAUUUUCUCUAAUAAGCUUCCAUAAGAAACGUUUAUGAUAAUUUAAGGCUUAAAUGGGUAUAAGACUGCAUAAAUGAUGUGUGCUGAUGAAAACAUGAAGAAAACUAGAAGUUUCAAUAAUUUUCAUAACAGGGGCAAAAUGGUCAUUUUUCACCUCGGGUUAAAACUUUAAGUUUUUAUGAACCCGAACAUGUCUAGACCAUUAUGGAUCUUGUCCCAGUGUUAAAAGAGUAAAAAGUUUGCAUAAAACAUUGGAGGAGAAUAAGUAAAUUGGUGGAAGGGCAUUUUCGUAAUUUUAAGAGAAAAGAUAAGAUUGCCUAUAAAUAUCUUGAAUUUCCAGCAACUUCUAGAGAUGUUCCAACAGCUGGUCUUCUUCUUCUUCUUCUUCUCCUCUCUCAUGUUUUUUCAAAACUCCAUGGAAGCUUGAUUUGAAGCUUGAAUGAUUUUCUCUCUCUAGCUCUAGUUUUCACACCUUUGAACCCUUUUGACUAGAACCUUUGAAUUCUUUCAUCCUCUCACUUUAAAACCCUUGAUAAAGCUUAUUUCCAUACUUUCUCUCACUAGUUGGGCAUUUUAGAGAGAGAAAAAGAGAAUUACUCUAUUGAUUUAGAAGCAAUUAGAAGAGAAUUUGACUACAAAGGAGCCCUAGGGUAAGUAAUGAACUAAGCUCGAUUUUUAGUUGCAGAAAAUGGCUAGUAAUUGGGAUUUAUGAGCUGUUUUAUUGUUGAGUAUGUUCAUUACUUUUAGUGAUUAAGAUAGUGAACAUAGAUAGCUAUUUAAUGUGGCAAUUGAAAACUAGCUAAGAGAUAGCUUUUAAAGUUCAUAGUGUGUAAAUUGAUCUAUUGUUUAUGUUAAUGUGAUCCUAGGUUUUAAGGAAGCCCCAUCAUCUCAUUUGGACAAUUAAGGGAAUUGGAGUCAUCUAAAGGCUUUACAAUCAAUUGGUGAGUGGACUGCCUUCAAAACUUAUUUUGGGAAUAUAAUGUAUUUGAUAAACGUUUGAAUGAUUUUAUACGAUUUUUCAUGAAAAUGAAUGUCUUGGGAACAAGCUCUUGAGAAAUGAUUUAUGUUAUGAUAUGUGGUUAUUAUGGAUUUCUAUGUGGCUGCAUUAUAUUGAUAUACAUAUAUGCUUGAAUAUAAUGUUGUGUAAUUAUAUUGACUCGGCUAUGUGCGAGUACGGAGUGCGCAUAAGCCGAGGAUGACCCGGUUAUGUGCGAGUAGGGAGUACACAUAACCCGGUGAUGACCUAACCAUGUACAAGUAGGGAGUGCGCAUGAGCUGGUGAGGAUGAUGAUGGGAUGGUGUGAUGAUGAUGAUGGGUAUAAGCGUAUAUAUAUAUAUAUAUGUAAAUAUGUGUGUCAUAGGAAAUUGAUGGAUAAUGGGUUCUGGUUGUAAUGCAUGUGAAACUUGACAUGUUAAACCUUGAGAAAUUGUUAUGUGUUUCAUAUUGGUUUUGAACAUUUCAAGCAGGGUGGUUUUNNNNNNNNNNNNNNNNNNNNNNNNNNNNNNNNNNNNNNNNNNNNNNNNNNNNNNNNNNNNNNNNNNNNNNNNNNNNNNNNNNNNNNNNNNNNNNNNNNNNNNNNNNNNNNNNNNNNNNNNNNNNNNNNNNNNNNNNNNNNNNNNNNNNNNNNNNNNNNNNNNNNNNNNNNNNNNNNNNNNNNNNNNNNNNNNNNNNNNNNNNNNNNNNNNNNNNNNNNNNNNNNNNNNNNNNNNNNNNNNNNNNNNNNNNNNNNNNNNNNNNNNNNNNNNNNNNNNNNNNNNNNNNNNNNNNNNNNNNNNNNNNNNNNNNNNNNNNNNNNNNNNNNNNNNNNNNNNNNNNNNNNNNNNNNNNNNNNNNNNNNNNNNNNNNNNNNNNNNNNNNNNNNNNNNNNNNNNNNNNNNNNNNNNNNNNNNNNNNNNNNNNNNNNNNNNNNNNNNNNNNNNNNNNNNNNNNNNNNNNNNNNNNNNNNNNNNNNNNNNNNNNNNNNNNNNNNNNNNNNNNNNNNNNNNNNNNNNNNNNNNNNNNNNNNNNNNNNNNNNNNNNNNNNNNNNNNNNNNNNNNNNNNNNNNNNNNNNNNNNNNNNNNNNNNNNNNNNNNNNNNNNNNNNNNNNNNNNNNNNNNNNNNNNNNNNNNNNNNNNNNNNNNNNNNNNNNNNNNNNNNNNNNNNNNNNNNNNNNNNNNNNNNNNNNNNNNNNNNNNNNNNNNNNNNNNNNNNNNNNNNNNNNNNNNNNNNNNNNNNNNNNNNNNNNNNNNNNNNNNNNNNNNNNNNNNNNNNNNNNNNNNNNNNNNNNNNNNNNNNNNNNNNNNNNNNNNNNNNNNNNNNNNNNNNNNNNNNNNNNNNNNNNNNNNNNNNNNNNNNNNNNNNNNNNNNNNNNNNNNNNNNNNNNNNNNNNNNNNNNNNNNNNNNNNNNNNNNNNNNNNNNNNNNNNNNNNNNNNNNNNNNNNNNNNNNNNNNNNNNNNNNNNNNNNNNNNNNNNNNNNNNNNNNNNNNNNNNNNNNNNNNNNNNNNNNGAGUAAUGCCAGUACGAGUUGGCAAUGUAUAUCACUAUUUUGAUUCAAAAGUAUGAAAUAUGACUUAGCGAUAUUUGAUGGAAUGAUGAGUAGGAUAAAUCGAUAGGCUUGCUUGGGCUUAAUAGACUACGUUUAUUGGGCCCUUGUGCCGGUCAUGGCCCGAAAAUUUGGGUCGUGACAGGGGCUUCCUUGAAACCUACCAUCACAUUAACAUCACCAUUAUGUUAAUUCACAUACUAUAAACCCUAAAAGCUAUCUCUCAACUAGCUUUCAAUUGUCACUUUAAAUGAUUAUCGAUGUUCACUAUCUUAAUCACUAUAAAAUGAAUGAACAUACUCAACAAUAAAACAGCUCAUAAUCCCAAUUACUAGCCAUUAUUCACAGCUAAAAAUCAAGCUUAGUUCAUCACUCACCCUAGGGUUUCUUUGUAGUUGAAUUCUCUUCCAAUAGCUUCCAAACAAAUGGUGUAAUUCUCUCUUUCUCUCUCUAGAAUGCCCAACUAGUGAGGAAAAGUAUGAAAAUAAGAUUUUUCAAGGGUUUUAAGAAGAGAGAGUGGAAGAAUACAAGGGUUCUAGUCAUAAAGGCACAAAGGUAUGAAAACUAGAGCUAGAGAGAGAAAAUCAUGCAAGCUCCAUAUCAAGCUUCCGUGGAGGUUGGAAGCAAUGUGAAAGAAAAAAAGGAGGAAGAAGAAAAAGCUGCUGGAAAAUGGGAGAAAAAGCUGCUGGAAGAAAAAUAUUUAUAGCCAAUCUUAUCCAUUCCACUUAAAUUACCAAAAUGCCCCUCCACCAAUUAACUUACUCUCCUCCAACCCUUUAUGAAAUCUUUUUACUCCUUUGACACUGGGACAAGGUCCAUAAUGGUCUAGACAUACUCGGGUUCAUGAACGCUUAUAAUUUUAACCCGAGGUGAAAAAUGACCAUUUUGCCUCUACCAUGAAAAUCAUCAAAAUUUUUGUUUCCUUUUCAUUUUACCCCUAAUUUCAUCAUCUAUUUAUGCCUUAGGCCUACUUAGGCCUUAAUAUUGUUUAAACUUACUUUUAUGGGUUUGGUAAGGAAAUGACAAAAUUACUCUUGAUCAGGGAUAUCACGUAUACUUCCCUUUACAAGUCUAUAAAGGUCAAGGUCUCAUAGUGUGCCCCCCCUUAAUGUAUGCAUGAUCUUUUCAAGUUAUUUUGUUAUCCAACUUAGCAAGUCAGUUAAUUUUUUAUCUAUUUCUUAAUGAAAAUAACAAGCAUUGAUUCAAACAUUUGACAGAGCAUAUUCAUGAAUUGUCUUACAAGCUUGCAGAGCUACCAGUUAUAAGUAACAAGAUAUUAUCAAUAUUUUGACCAUUUAUACCAUCAUCAGCAUAUUAUCAACAAACCAUAUCCAUUCUAGAAUCAAAUGUCAUUAACAAGCCAACAAAGAUAACAUAAAAGCAUAACAAAAGUAAGUCAUCAGCAUCCAAAUCCUAACCAUCAACAAUUAUCAUAGCAGAAUGUCAAAUUCUAACCAUCAGCAAUUAUCACAGCAGAAUGUUAUAAGUAACUAAGUAUCACACACAUAAAUUAAACAUGAAGACCUAUCAAACUCUGUUUAACUUAGUCUUCCUUCUCUCCUUUUUCUUUUUCAUCAUUAAACAAGAUAUUCAAAACUUUCACUUAAUGAAUGCAUCAAGAUUUUCCUUGAAUCUUUAAAUCAAACUUUAAUGAAUGAGAAUUAUAAGCACUCAUGCACCUAAGUCAUACAAGCUUAUAGAUAUAGUUCAAUAACUUCAAGAGUCAAGCUUGUGCCUAUGUAAGAACAAAUGUAUGGGAGUUAAAUCAUUUCAAGAAAUUGUCAAGGAUUACUCAAAUAAUGUUCAAGCAAAUUUGAUCAUUUUGUCAUAAUCAAAACUAUAAUAAUUUUAAAGCUAACACUAAUAAAGCUAGUAAGGAAUUUGAGUACAAAAAGAUGAGAGCUUUCUCAAGAAUUAUGAACGAUAAAGUGAAGUUUAAGCUCAAGAAACUCUAGCUAAGAAAUAAAAAUGUGAUCUUGGUUUUCUGCUCUUGCUAAAAAAAAGGAUUUUUUUUUGUUCACAACUUUCUUACUUGUUUUUGCUAUUUUCUUUGCUUUUCAAUUCUUUUCAAUCUCUUCAAAAGUGUGUCUAUAAUGUCCUCAGAUUGGAUAUUUAUAGGCCCCGUGAUUUCUUUCCUUUUGGAAUGAAAUUUGAAUAAACUUUUAUACAUUUUGGCCAACUUGCACAUUUCUAUCGCAUAUGUAGAAUCGAUUCUUUGUUCAUGAGUUAUCAGUUCUUCAUAAAAUCUAAAAUUUUUUGUCUCUAUAGAAUUGAUUCUUCCUUCUUGAGAUGCCGAUUCUUCCACAACUUGGCUCAAAGGUGACAUCUUUACACUUUAGUAAAAUCAAUUCUUUUAUUCCAAGGAGUCGAUUCUUCACUAUGGUCUAGUGCCAAAAUUUGAAUUUGAGCUUGCUUUUUUGGCACUCCAAUCUUAUCCAAUUGUACCAUCUCUUUAUUCUUCACCAAGUUUAUGAUUUUUUUCAUUGGUGCUUCAAGAACCAAUAUCUUCUUCCUCCAAUAUCGAUUCUUUGUCUUUAGACUUUAAAUAUUUGAUUCAUUCUCACUCAAAACCGAUGAUUGCUUCAUGGAGAAUCAAUUUUUUCAUGCUUGAAUUCUUCCUUCUGCAUUUUGUUCUACUAGAAUUGAUUCUUGCUCUCUAAGCUGUCGAUUCUUCUCAAAUCUUGAAGCUUCUAUCUUCCAAGAACUGACUUUUUCUCUUAUUAGAAUUGAUUCUUCUCAUAAUAAGGGAAUAAAUUUUUCUUUCCACUCUUUUAAGAAUCGAUUCUUUAAGGCUGGCACUUGAGUUCAAGUUUGCUUAAAACCUUUUUUUCUUUGCAAGCUAAACUUCAGAAUUCUUAAGGAUUUUCUUCAAGUUUAAAAAUAUUUCUAAUCAUUUCCAAUUCAUGUUUAGAUCAAUCAAUUUUGUCAUUUCAAAACCAAGGUAAAGCUAACAAUCUCUCCUUUUUUUUUAUGACAAAAUUAAGAGCUAAAUUUGCUCAUUGAAAAACUCCUUUUGAAUUUAUGCUUAACAUUUGAAAAGAUCCCAGAACCAGGGUAACAUUAUAAAAAGGAUUUGAAAGGAUGUUCAGAACUCCGCCUGAGUUUGUGCACUUUUCAAAAUGAUUGCAUGAUAUUUUAAAAGCCCUUUUGAAAUCAUUGUUUAGGAAAAUCCAACCAAAUAUAUGAAAAGCUUUGGCAAAUUUACUCCUAAUAUUUUCCCCUUUUUUUAUGUAAAUAGAGUUAGAAUAAUGAGAAGAAAAACUCAUAGGAAAACAAAGCAUUAGUAGUACAAUAUAAAUACCAUUUAAAGACAAAGCAUAUAGACAUUCAUAGCAAGAUAGUUCAAUCAAUUAUACUUAUAGAUGUCAAAACAAAUAAUGUGAAUCUUGCAUUAUCAAUAUCUAAAUAACAAAACCAUUUAGAUCAAAACAUUAAUCAAUGAGACGUAUCUAUGAACAUGUAGAAGUCAUCCAACAAGAAUGUCACGACCCAAAUCUAGGGCCAUGACCGACGCAAAGGUAUUGAUGGGAGUUACCCUCUUAACCCAUGCAAGCCUAAGAUGAACAAUUCAAGUCAAUACUUGGAAUUACCUCAUGGGACUCAUCACCAUGGAACUGUACAUAAAACAUAUACGAACAUAUCAAAUCACAUAAGAUUAAAUCAUAUUAGUUUACACAUUAACGUGGCCAAAAUGAGAAAGCAAUAAUCAGUAAAAUAUCAUUUAUAGGCCAUCCUAUGGCAUUUACAUAGUGUGGCCAUUACUUGGCAAAUUCCAUAUACAUAUCAUUAAUACAAGACGUAAAUAUAGUCAUAUUUAUAACAGUCAAACAAAAUGACCAAACCAAAUAGGACCAACAGAGAACAACUCAAAACAAAAGGGCUAACACCUACUUGAUGCCAUAAGAUAACCUACCAAAAACUGAUCAAAGUGUUGGCUCUUCCCAAAGGACAAUGAGCCAAGCAACUAUUGAUAUGCAAAACAAGUGCAUCUUACAUUUAUGAGUUGUAAAUAACUUCAUAAGCAGAUACGAGAAGGGGGAACUAGCUAAACGGGAGAGUGUUUGUCCAAAAUACUUUUAAAAUAAAUGUAAAUAAUCUGAUUCAAAAAAAUAACAAAGUUGCCUUUCAACUGUAACAAUUUUUCCUAAGGGUUUAGGAAUUUAAUCCUAAGCAAAAUCAAGCAUCCUAUAGUGCGAGUUAUGUGCCAAGUAUGAUCACAUAUCAAACAAACUUCAAUACCAUCGCCUCGAUGGAUACAAACUUAUUUAGAAGGAUUUUAUAAAAUUUUGUUGGAAACCAUUCUCAAACCUUUGAAAUAAAAAUUAUAGUUUGUAAAACAUUCAAGUAUUCCCAAAAAAUAAUUUAUUUAUAUUGAGGUUUAAAGCUUUUGUAAAACAAAGUGUAGUUCAAAGAAAAUGAAGUAAUGUUGUUGUCUUUAGAAAAUCUUUGAGGAAAACGAAUGAAUUUCAAAUUAACAUAAUUUGCAUUACAUUGUGUAAAUCAAGUUUGAAUACCAUAUACAAAUGCCAAAAAUCUAAACAAAUAACAACUCAAGCACCAAGGUCGAAAUCAAUGUCAAUUCCAAGAAUCGAGGUCAAAACAAAUACCAAAUCUAAAGUCCAAAGUUGAGAUAAUAUCAAUACCAAAGUCCAAAAUCCAAAACAAUUAUCAAGCUUCAAUUCCAUAGCAUAACAUAUCAUUUCAAAUAAGUCGUGGAGCACUAAGUAGCAUGGUCAACUAAAUCAAAAUAUGUCGUAGCACUAAAGGGGUCGGAUACAUAAUAGUCACCAACCGUAUAUCAAAAGUGGUAAAAGUCGUAUCAUCUACCAAACAAAACCAAAUCAAGGGGGUAAGACUCUAUCAACUACCUAAUAAAAGUUAAGCAUUGUGCACAAUGACUAAUGUCUACUGUCACUAGCUAUAGGUCCAUAACUCAAGUAGGCUCCACUAAAACAUAUGUAUUAUUUUUACUAAUAUCCAAAUACUUGAUCCCACAUGAAGAGAAGAAUCCAAUCACCAUCCAAGAAACAGAGGGUUUAAUAAAAUGAAGUCAGGUGUACAAAGUCUAUUGCCAAGCAAAGUAUAUUCUCCAUCAUCAACAAAAUAAGAAUUUGAAGCAAAUGCUAAAUCAAAUCAUCAAUCUCAAGGCAAAUUGACCCGAUGCUAGGGUCUAUGCAAGGUAAAUAACUUCGUUUUAAAUUUCCAAACUUGCAAUCAUUCAAAUAGUCAUAAACAAACAUAGAUUUUUUAGGUAUCAAACAUUUCAAAAGGAUUUUUCCCCAUGCCAAAGCUAUAUACAUAGUAACAUAUUUACAUAAGAUAUCUAGAUUUCAUAAAAUAAUCUUAAAACCAUUAUUCAUAACACAAAGUCCAUCAAAAUACGUUGUUGUAGAAUAGGCAUGCUUAAUUAUAUUAAAAUAAUUAAAAAUGUUGUAUCUACCCACUUCUUGAAACGCGCUUUUUUUUUUCUCUUGGCACCUUUCGUUAAAAGCUUGACUUUCCUAACAACUCAAAUUACUCCAAUAUCACCUAAAAAUGAUAUUUAAUCAUCAAUACUCUCAAAGUCCUAAUAAAAUGAUAUUCAAUCAUCAAUUUCGUCAACAACCUUUAAAAAUUUCAUAAUACUUUGAAUAUCCAUUUCUAACCCUAUUUAAUCUCCACUUAUUUCUAAUUAUUUCCACCAAACUUUCACCCAAACUUCAUACCCAAUAAAUAAAAAACUUAUUUUACCUAUUUGUCCUCUUUGGUGAGCCUUUAGUGGAGAGAUCUAGCCCAAUCUUGAAAACUUAAAAAAUUUAUAGCUUUUAAAAAGAGAAAACAAAAAUCAUCAAAACUAAGUUUUUUGGGAGUGAAAAUCCUUACCUUUAGGACUUAGAAUCCAAGAUUUAUUGAUAAGUUUGAAGGUUUUGAAAGGUUUGAAAUUUGAGAGAAAUUGGGUGGCGAAAUAAGGAGAUAAGAGAAGAAUGAGAAAUUUUCAAGUUUUAAGGCUUUUAAGCUUGUUUUAAGCUAACUAGGCAAUUUAGGAUUGACUAUGGAGGGUCUAUAGUCAAUCCUGGACUAGAAGGUUUUGGUUUCACUCAUUUCCCCUUCACAAAAUUGACUAUAAAGGAUCUAUACCCAAUCUUGGACCAGAAUGUUCACUUUUCACUUAGUUUUCCUUCACAAGAUCAACUAUAAGCCCUCUACUAUUGGCUCCAUUAGUUUUUGAUGAUAAUAAAACAUUCCCAUUCAUUUGUGUCUAAUUUCUUUACUUGAGUGUGUAGGAAAAUUAAUGUAUGAAAUUAAUAAAUCAAUCUUUCAAAGUGAAUAUCAAAAGAAAAAAAAAGAUAAAAAAAAUAAGACAUGACUGCUUAACUAGAAGGAAGCUCAUUAGAUGAAUAAGGAAGAAUGUUGGUUGGCCAAGAUUCAAAUUGGAGAAAUGACGGGCUGAAGAAUAUUGAGAAACAGAACCAACUUAGUAGACUAAGAAAUGAGCUAGUCGACUAAGUGCUUACUGCCAGAACUGCCAAAAAUAGGGAGCAGAAAACAGAGACGACUUAGUCAACUAAGAUAUCAGUUAGUCGACUAAGAGCAUUCUGCUUGCAAGUUUGAAAUCUGCACUAAAAGAUAGAGUAACGGCUAGAACUGACUCCUAACUGUCUCCAACGACUAGAAAACUAUUAAACUGCCAUCAGAGAUGUUUCUCCAAGUAUAAAAGAGUCUUCCAACAGUUAGAAACUAGUUUUUAGAAGUUUUGGAGGAGAUUUGAGCCAUAUAGAGCUGAAAAACCAGAAAAUCUUCUCUACACCUUGCUGCACUCAAACGCCCAUCCUUGAAUUUGUAUUAUGCACUCAACCUUGUACCAUUUAGAUCAACUUGUGAUCAUAGGUACUUUUUUUUACCUUUUUUCUUCUAUUCUUAGAGUGAGAGAGUCACUCUGAGUAGUUGUUUCAAGUUAGGAUUGCUUGAAGGUGUUAAGGUUCUAACUUAGCCUUUAAAAGUUAGGUGUUGGGUUAUAGUUGAGCUUGGGAAAAACUAGUGCAAAAGGUUUUGGCUGAGCCUUGUAAAAGCCAUUGUAAAGCUUGGUGAAAGCUUGUGAAUUUCACCGAUUCUUAGUGGAUUUGUUGGGAAAAUCCUUGGUUGGAUAAUCAAGGUAGUGGAUGUAGGUCUUGGACCGAACCACUAUAAAUUGUUGUGCAUUGUCUACUCUAUUUUUUUAUUUUCAUUAUUCUGAAAAUUAGUUCCUUAUUUUGUCAAGAGUCGAUUUGUGCUAUUCACCCUCACUCCAGCACAUAUUAUUGGGACCAACAAGUGGUAUUAGAGCUAGCUGUCUGUUAUUAAGGUCUAACACCCUUUGAGAGGAUCCAAAUGGCUCAACUAAAAUCAGUAGUGGCUGAGGGACAAUCAACAAAUAGACCACCUCUGUUUGAUGGCUCUAAUUACCCUUAUUGGAGCACUAGGAUGUUAAUCUAUAUUAGAGCUAUAGACUAUGAAAUGUGGGACGUCAUAACCGAUAGACCCUUUAUGCCCUCAACCGUGAAUGUGGUGACAAAUGAGUUGAUGCCAAAUCAAAGGUCUAAAUGGACUGAAACUGAAACUAAGAAAGCUCAAAUAAAUUUUAAGGCCAUCAACACAUUACAUUGUGCCUUGACCUCCACUGAAUUUAAUAAAGUCUCAAGCUGUUCAAUAGCUAAACAAGUGUGGGAGAAACUUAGAAUAAUCCAUGAAGGGACUUUUAAAGUAAAGGAGUCCAAAAUUGCCCUCUUAACACAUAACUAUGAAAUGUUCAAAAUGGAGCCUGGUGAAGACAUCACUAGCAUGUUAGAUAGGUUUACAAACAUCACAAAUAAAUUGAGUCAACUAGGCAAGCCUAUCCCUAAACAUGAAUUAGUAAAAAGACUACUUAAGAGUCUACCAAAAAAUUGGAAGCCUAAAGUGACUACAAUUCGAGAGGCAAAAGAUCUAAAUGUUAUCACCUUAGAUGAUAUUUGUGGCUCUCUCCUAACUCAUGAGCUAGAGCUUAAAAAGGAAGAAGAAAAAGAUAGGAGGGAACCAAAUGAAAAAAAAAAGAGCAUUGCACUUAAAGCUAGCAUCCUUGAGGAAGAGCUGGAAGAGUUGUCCUGUGAUGAUGAUGAAGAGUUAGCUUUGGUUGCAUGAAAAUUUAGAAAGCUUAUGGGCAGAAGAAAUCGGAGACUGGAUAAAAGAGGGUUUAGAAAAGAUCAAGGUGCUUCAUAAAAAAUCAGAAACAAAAAAAAAGGAGUUGAUUUGCUACGAAUUCAAGAAACUUGGUCACUUCAAGUCCGAGUGUCCAUUUAUGAAAGAUGAGACUCCAAAGAAAAAUAAGAAAUCCAAAAAAGCAGUGGCUGCUGCAUGGUUGGACAAUGACACAUCAAGCUCUGAAGCUGAAGAUGAAAAAUCUGAGGAAAGAGCAAACAUUUGUUUGAUGGCACAAAAGGAUGAAACCGAGGUAUCCUCAUCCCCCUAUGAUAUUUGCAUUAAUGAUUUAUAGGAUGAGUAUGACAGCCUCUGUGAUGAAUUUGAAAAACUUUUUUCAAAAUACAAAACAUUAAAGAAAAAGGAUGCAUCUAUUGAAAAUGAUUUGGAAAAGAUGAGACAAGAGUUCAAUUCUGUUUUUGAGCAAAGAAAUAUUUUGCAAAUUAAGUUAGGACACUCAAAAACAGAUUUUGAAGUUUUAAAAUUAGAGCUGAAUAAUAAGUCUGAUGUUGUGCAAAAAUUACUUAAUGAAAACACAGCUCUCAAAUGUUUGAAAAAUGAAUCUCCAAAAAGAUAUGCAUACCACAAUAAAAAUUCUGCUAAUGCAUUACCUAGAUGCAAUAAUUGUAGUAAACAUGGUCAUUUAUCAUAUGAUUAUUUUAAGAAAAGAAAUGUGCAGAAAAUCAGAAAAAUUUGGGUUCCUACAGGAUCCUAUAUUGCAAUUAACACUCAAGAAUCCAUCAAAGUAUGGGUACCUAUAAAGAAAAACUGAAAUAUUGUUUUGUAGGUUGAACUGCACUUAAAUGAGACAUGUUCAAGAGCUCAACUCAAGAAGAAGCAGCCUUGGUACAUGGACAAUGGCUGCUCACGGCACAUGACAGGAGAUGAAAUGUUAUUUGCUCAGCUAAACAAAAGAAAGGGAGGUACCGUAUCCUUUGGUGAUGAUUCAAAAAGUAGGAUUCAUAGGAUAGAUACGAUUGGUAAGAACUCCCAAACUCAAAUCAGUCACGUGUUGUUAGUUAAGAGUUUGAAGCAUAAUUUAUUGAGCAUUAGUCAAUUAUGUGACAAAGGAUUUAAAUUAUGUUUUGAUUCAAACAAGUGUGAAGUAAUAGAUAUAGGUACAAAUAAAGUCUCAUUUAUAAGAAAGAGAUUGAAGAAUAUGUAUGUUGUUUUUCUUGAGCAUCUUGAAAUAAAUAAUGAAAUAUGCCUUGUUACAAAUGCUGGAAAUGAUAACUAGUUAUGGCAUAGAAGAUUAGGACAUGUAAGCUUGCAUACUAUGUCAAAAUUGAUUAGAAAGAACUUAGUUGUUGGGCUGCCGGAUUUAAAAUUUGAAAAUGAGAAAAUAUGUGAUGCUUACCAACUAGGAAAACAAGUUAGAACAUCCUUCAAGACUAAGAAGAUUGUGUCAACAUCUAGACCUCUUGAAUUAUUACAUAUUGAUCUAUUUGGUCCAAUAAGCACAACUAGUUUAGGAGGAAAAUCAUAUGGCUUUGUAAUAGUUGAUGUUUAUUCUAGAUAUACUUGGGUUUAUUUUCUUGCUCACAAGAAUGAUGCUAUAUCAGUUUUUAUAAGUCAUUGUAAGAAAGUUAAGAAUGAAAAAAGACUAACCAUAGUUAGCAUAAGGAGUGAUCAUGGAGGAGAAUUUGAAAAUGAUGAAUUUGAGAAAUUUUGCAAUGAAAAGGGAUGGGAUCACAAUUUCUCUACACCUAGAACACCCCAGCAAAAUGGAGUGGUAGAGAGGAAAAAUCGAACAUUACAAGAAAUGGCUAGGACUAUGUUAUGUGAGAAUAACCUAACAAAAUAUUUUUGGGCUGAGGCUGUGAACACAGCAGCUUACAUACUUAAUAGAGUCUCAAUAAGAUCCAUGAUGUCUAAGACACCAUAUGAACUUUACAAGGGUAGGAAACCAAACAUUUCUCACCUUAGAAGUUUUGGCUGUAAAUGUUUUGUAUUGAACAAUGGAAAACAGCCCCUAGGAAAGUUUGAUGCAAAAAGUGAUGAGGCAAUAUUUUUAGGAUAUGCAUUAAACUCCAAGGCUUAUAGAGUUUUCAACAAAAGGACUCUAAAUGUUGAAGAAUCAAUCCAUGUAGUUUUUGAUGAGUCAAAUGAUUUACAAAAGGAAAGUCAUGUUGAUGAUGAUGAUGUAGAAAUCCUAGAAAACCAAAUGGAAGAAAUGAGCCUAGAGAACAAUAAGAAUAAUGAAGAAAGCUCAUCUAGAAGAGAAAAUGAAACUCCACCUCUAAAAGAUCUGCAAGAACAAAAAAUCAGCAUAGUGAUCUUCCAAGAAGUUGGAGAUUUGUAAGAGACCAUCCACAAAAGCAAAUCAUAGGUGACAUUUCUCAAGGUGUCAAAUCUAGAAAAGUAACUAGGGAGACUUGUGAAUUUUCAGCUUUCCUAUCUCAAAUUGAACCUAAAAACUUUGAAGAAGCUGAAAAUGAGGAAAGUUGGAUAAUGGCCAUGCAAGAGGAACUUGACCAAUUCAAAAGAAAUCAUGUAUGGUCACUAGUACCUAGACUUUCAAAUCACCCUAUUGUUGGCACAAAAUGGGUGUUUAGAAAUAAGGUAGAUGAGCAAGGAAAUGUAGUUAGAAAUAAGGUAGAUGAGCAAGGAAAUUUAGUUAGAAAUAAAACUAGGUUAGUAGCCCAAGGAUACAACCAAGAGGAAGGAAUAAACUAUGAUGAAACCUUUGCACCGGUUGCUAGAAUUGAAGCCAUAAGGAUGUCGUUAGCUUUCGCAUGCUUCAUGAAUUUCAAAUUGUACCAAAUGGAUGUAAAAAGUGCAUUUUUAAAUGGAUUCAUUCAAGAGGAAGUAUAUGUAGAACCACCACCAGGUUUUGAAGAUUUUGAAAAACUAGAUCAUGUUUUCAAACUCCACAAAGCUUUAUAGGGAUUGAAACAAGCUUCUAGAGCUUGGUAUGAGAGGCUUUCAAAAUUUAUGGUUGAAAAAGGUUAUGAUAAAGGCAGCAUUGAUACUGCAUUGUUUAUUAAAAGAUGUUUAAAUGAUCUAAUUGUUGUGCAAAUAUAUGUGGAUGACAUUGUAUUUGGUGUAACUAAUGAGGCUUUAUGCAAGAACUUUGCUAAAGAAAUGCAGGGUGAAUUUGAGAUGAGCAUGAUGGGAGAGUUGAAGUACUUUCUUGGUCUUCAAAUUAAAUAAAGUGAAGAAAGAAUCUUCAUCAACCAAGAAAGGUACACUCAAGAUAUGCUCAAAAAGUUCGAUAUGCUAAAGCUGAAACUAACCUCCACACCAAUGAGUCCAUCCACAAGACUUGAUCUUGAUGAAAAAGGAAAGAAUGUAGAUCAAAAGCUGUAUAGAGGUAUGAUCAGUUCACUACUUUAUUUAACAGCAAGCAGACCAGAUAUUCAGUUUAGCGUGUGUUUGUGUGCUAGAUUUCAGUCAUAACCUAAAGAAUCACACCUAACAAUUGUUAAAAGAAUUUUUAGAUACCUUUUAGAAACUCAAACUUUAGGAUUAUGGUAUUCUAGAGAAUCAUCAUUUGAUCUUGUAGGCUAUUCAGAUGCUGAUUUUGCUGGCAGCAAAACUGACAAGAAAAGUACUAGUGGAACAUGCCAAUUUCUAGGUAGCAUGCCUAUGCCAUGGUCCAGCAAGAAACAAAGUUCAGUAGCUUUAUCUACAGCUGAAGCAGAGUAUAUAUCACUAAGUAGCUAUUGUGCACAAAUUCUUUGGAUUAAACAACAAUUGAAAUACUAUGGAAUGACUAUCCAUAACGUACCAAUAUACUGUGAUAACACAAGUGCAAUUAAUAUAUCAAAAAAUCCUAUGCAACACUCUAGAACAAAACACAUUGAGAUUAGACAUCAUUUUGUUAGAGACCAUGCAGUGAAAAAUGAUGUUAAAAUUGAAUUUGUGAAUACUUUGCAUCAACUAGCUAAUAUUUUUACUAAACCGCUGAAUGAAGAUAAAUUCUAUGAAAUUAGAAGAAAUCUAGGUAUGAUUAGUCAACAGGAAUUGUGAGAAAACCUUUGGUUCAUGAACAUGAAACAGAAUGCAUUUAUUCGACUAAGAUAAAUCUUAGUCAACUAAGAGUAUUCUGGUAGCAUCAAAUAAUAAGACUUAGUGAAUAAAAUAAGGAAAGAAUAAAAUAAUAUAAAGCAUGUGUGUACCGAGUGAUAAGGAAAGAAGAAAUACUGCCUAAAGUGAAUAACCAAAAUUUAGAGGGAGUUUUGAAAUUUUGAGCAAAUAGAAUAGGGCAAUAUUUAAGGGGGGAGGUGAAUGAUUUUCUAAGAGAAAUUAAAACUACUGACAACUUCUUUUUCUCCAUUUUCUUUCCCCUAAAACUCAAAAAUCUUAAACCAAAACCCUUUUCUCUCCACUUUCUUGCCUAUGAAACCGACUCAUACCAAAACUAAAACUCUCAAACCCAAGUCUGAAAUUUUCAAAAUCAAAAUGGCAAAAACAUCUCAAAGUAGAGAAAUCAUUGAAAAGAAGAAGGGAAAGAGACCAGUGGAAGAAGGAUCAAAAAUGGAAUUACUGAAAAAGAAACAAAAAAUCACGUCUGCUUCAGUGAAAGAGAUAUCUGAGAAAUUGAAAGAAAAGAAGCAGAAAACAGAAAAAAAAAAGAAGGACAAGGAAUCCACACUUAAGAAACGUACUAGUUCUUCCUCUUCUAAGUUCAAAAAUAGGAUGCAUGAACUGAGGUUCAGAAAAAUUGAGAAUGCACCUAUAACUUAUGGCAAAUAUAAUGACUGGAAGAGUUUUAAUGAGAACUUAGAAAUUCAAACAAGUUUAUCCAACUAUUUUAAUGAAUUAAAACUGAAAGGAUAUAGCACUUUUAAGAAUAGAUCUUACAAUGCAAGUCUGGUAAAGGAGUUCUAUUCUAGCAUUGCUUUAGGAGAAAAAGAAUUAGAGGAUUCUGAUGACUAUGUCGAAAAUGGUCUGAAUGUGUAUUUGAAUGGGAAAAAAUUUGUUGUCAUUGCUUGUCACGACCCGGAACUCCCAUCGAGCCCGUGACAACCGUCGCGAUGUCCUAAUAGACAUUCAUUACCUGAAAUGCCAAUCGAAACCUAGCAAGGCAUAACAUCAGUUUUCUCGCUUCCCCUAUGAGUAUUAGUUACUAAAUCAUGUUUUAAAGUGAUAUGAAACAAUUUCAAUUCAAAAACAGUCAAAGAAAAAUUUCAACUACACAGGGGUAUUUUGGUCAUUUUUCACAAAAAUUCCAAAACUAGCUAAAAUGUACUGUAUGAGAGAAAUUUACACAUUUCAUAACCGAAAAUAAGUUUACAUAUCUAAAACAUUCAUUUAAAGUGAAAUUAUAGCUACUGGAAAAAAAUAAAAAUAAUAAAUAAAAUAUUCUAAUUUUUCAUAAAACAAUUUUUAUAGAGCACUAAGUAAAUAAUUUUUAUAGUGUCAAAGCAAAAUAAAUUCCUACAUACAGUAGCACACAUAGCCAAGUAUUCAAAACAUUUAACAAUGACAUGUGGGCCCUCGAAUGACUAAAAGUAAUGAAGGUUGUGAAGCUACAAUUUUUGAGGAUGCAAGUCCAACUGUAGCCCUCAACAAAAUGAGCUAUCUACCGACUAUCUUGAGCUGAAAUGGGUGCAAAUGAGGGUGGUGAGAUUUUAUAAUCCCAGUGAGUAAACAAAUACCAUCUAAAAUAUCUAAAGUUGAGUAAAUGGAUACAGAUAAAAUAGAUUAGCAUAAAAAUGAUUCACAACAUUUCGAACUCAUUUUAGUAAGAUAAAAUAGAUUCAUUUCACUCAAAAUAAACAACGAGGCUUAUGAUUUCCUGAAAAGCUUGGCUCGUGCCAAAAUCAUUCUUAUACUCAGUUGUCAGGGAUACCUUGGCUUGGAGCUAUCCCAACCGAGUCCACCAAGGCUGUUAAAAAGUCAUGUACGCAUAAAUCAUGUUUUUAUUUUGAAAACAUAGCCUUUCCUUGGCGUUGGCUUAGUUCACCCUUACGUGGUGGUUUGGCGUAAAGUGAACUCUAAAGUUGUACCUAGGAAGUUACCUUACACGCCUCUCUGAUCGAGGUAAGAAUAUAACAGGAUUUCGUGCCCCUCAAAAAGACUGGUCUAUAGAACCCGCCCACUGUAGCAAGCUAAACCCACCAUACAAUAAAAAUUCAACAGCAUGACAUGGCAAUUUUAUCAUUAUCUAGCCUAUCAAGGUAAACAACAAUUUAUACAUUUUCAACACAAAUACUCAUCCAGCCAUUCAUGCCCACAUUAUCAUAAGUCAUUCAAUUCAAAACAUAAUUUACAAUACAGCAAGUAGUCUCCAAUUACUCCAUUUUCAAAACCAUCGUUCAAUUUCAAGACAAUUUUAUAAAAUCAUUUCAUUUAAUCACAUUUUCCAUAAAAUCACAAAAACGAAUUAAAAUUCACUUUAGAUAAUUAAGAUGAUGAUAAGGUUACUCACUAUUUCGGGAGUCAAAUUUUGAGUACUCCGAUUCUUGAUCCUCGGGUACUAUCGCUUUACUUUUGCCAGAAAGCUCACCACCUAGACAUAAUGCACAAUAAGCCAUUUACUACAUUUGUGCUAAACCGUUGCAAAACCAAUUCAGGCUUUAUACUAAUGCAUGAAAUGGGAUGUGAAAUACUCGGGUAACUAUCUAAAUACGGUGUUCAAUAUAAAUUCAAUUAUGUACCUAAAUAAAAUGAUAUUGGCCUAAUUCAAUCUAUCACCCAAUUAAUUGGCCAAUAUGUCCAAUUUAACUCCAUUUUUCUUCUAAUUCUCCAAACCAUCAAACACAAGUCAAAUAACAUAAAAUUUAGCAAAAUCAUCUUUCUCUUGGGAAUUUCGGCCAUGGUGGGUGCAUCAAUACUAUGAUUUUUCCUACUUGAUUUUCUCACCGUAAUUCAUCAUUUCCUAACCAAUUCACUUGAAAUAAAAUCAAAUCCACCAUCCACACUCUACAUGGAAAAAUCGACCAAUGAUGGGUGAUGGGAGGAAGUGAAUUUUUCUUGUUAGCUUUUCAUGCUACACAUCACUAACUAACUAAAAACACUAAAAUACAUUGAAAUCUAACCAAAUCAAGCAUCAAAACCUCCCUCUAAGUGUUCGGCCAGCAAGGGAUUCAUCAUGAAAUCAUGUGAUUCAACCAUGGAAAAUGCAAAAGAAUGUAUGGGAAAGGUAGAUCGCAAGUCAAAAUCAAGAAAUUUUACCUUUGAUUGCUUGAUUACUUGAAAUCCACCAAUUUUCUCUUGAAUUUUCACUCUAGGGUUUUUGUUCUUUCUUUUCUUCCUUUGUUCUUGCUUUGGCCGGCCAUAAGAAUGAAUGUGGAAGAGUUCAAAUUGGCUUUAUAAAGGAAAAUAUUAAAUGGACAAAAAUUUACCAUGUGUCACCAUUCCAUUGGUC
rnacentral:lncRNA from 1 species